GGAGCGGCUGGUUUGGGUGAGUGUGUUUCUGGUGAAAAGAUGGGUGUCUCGGCUGGAGGAGCGGACAGGAUGGAUGCAAACGGUGGCACUGGAGAAGACGAUACUAGAGUUGCAGAAGGCGAUGGUGGAGGGUUUGGAUCAAUCUGAGAAGAAAGUUCGAUAACGAGUUCGGAAGGUCGAGAAGGAGAGGAAAAGUCGUCAUUUUCUGUGGUGAGAGAUGGUGUGCUUGUGUGGUUGGAAAGAAGAGGUGAAAGUGCGUGAGAAGUAGAGUCAAGGGAGGAAGAGAUGUCGUGGGCCACCAAGGGGAUUGGACCAUAAUUAUGGGUCAACGAAGGGAUAUUAGAGUUGGGCUUGAGAGAGACAUAAGGAAAAAUAUCUUCAUGAAAUUUGACAUAUCGGCUAGUAAAGACCUUUUUGGUUGAUAAAUCAAAUAAUUUGUAUGUUUUCUGACCAACAGGAUAACCGAUGAAGAUGGAUGGCAUGGCACGGUAAUCAAAUUUAUGAGAGGUGUGAACAUUGGUGGCAUAGGCUAAACAUCCGAAAACACGGAGAUGAGAGUAAGAAUGUGGUUUUGAGUAAAGCAAUUCAAAAGGAGUUUUGAAAGACAAUACUGGUGAAGGUAACCGAUUGAUGAUGUGUACGGCAGUGAGAGCACACUCCCCCCAAAAUUAAGUGAGAACUUGAGCAUGAAAUUUCAAAGCUCGGGCUACUUGUAAAAUAUGACGAUGUUUGCGUUCCACAACCCCAUUUUGUUAAGGCGUGUAAACACAAGAAUGCUGAAAGAUGACACCAUUAUCUUGAAAAAAAGAACGAAGUGAGGUAAAUUCUCCACCAUUGUCACUUCGAAAAGUUUUAAUGCGAAAGUCCAAUUGUGUGAACACAUAGCUGAAGAAACGUUUUAAAAGUGAUUGUGUUUCAUCUUUAUGUCGCAUUAAAAAUAUACAUGUAAACGUGUAUAAUCAUCGACAAUAGUGAGAAAGUAAUGGGCACCAAACAGAGAAGAGUAUCGAUAACUACCCCAAAUGUCACAAUGAAUAAUCUCAAAAGGUUUAGUAGAAAAAAUAGCACUAGUACCAAAAGGUAAACGACUUUGCUUAGCCAAAGGACAUAUUGGGCAAGCAUUAUUGGACUGAACAGAAAAAUUCAAAAAAUUCUUGGCAAUGAAACUCAAACGAGAAGGUGAUACAUGGCCUAAGCGACUGUGCUAGAGAUCGGUGGAAGAGAUGGCGAGAUUGCAAGCUGGUUGGUUUGUGGAUGAGGAAUGGUUGGCUAAAGAUUUAUUCAUCGCUAGUGCCACCAAAUAGUAUAGUUCGUCACGUUGUUUACCCAAACCAAUCGUUCUCCUCGUAGCCAGAUCUUGCAAAAUACACCAAUAAGGGAAAAACGUCACUGAACAAUUUAGACCUCUUGUCAAAUGACUAACUGAUAUUAAAUCAACUUUGAAUGUAGGCACAGAUAAGACAUCAUGUAGAUAAUAGACGGAAUUCAGAGGCAAAGACCCUUUCGUAACAAUAUUCGUUUUUUCUCCGCUAGGCAACAAUACGGGCAGUAACGAUCAAUUUUUAUCUUUAUGCAAUAAUUUAGAGGAUGAAGUAAUAUGAUCCGUCGCCCCACUAUCAAUAAUCCAAUUGCGAGAAGCGACUUUGGACAAACCUGGCUUUGUUACCACAUUCACUUUGGAACUAGAGUUUUCAUCUUGGUUAUUAAGAAGUGACAAAAGUUACUUGAGUUGGGCUUCUGACAAUGCAACUGUAGGUUUCCCUUCAUCUGCCUUAGAAACUUAGUUAGCCGCAGAAAAACUUUUAUUCCGAUUUGAGUUUGAGCCUAAGUUCAUUCUUGCUUUAGGAUGGCCUGGUGGGUAUCCAUGUAGUUGAAAACACUUUUGGACCCAAUGACCCAUAUCUACACAAUACGAGCACUGGGGGCGUCCUCUUCUAGAACCCAUGCGGCGCCGAUCUUGAUCAAAAAAUGGUCUGCCAUCUUGUUACUGAGAAGACCGAUUCACCUUGAAAUUAUGAGAACCAGAGGGGCGAUCAGUUGAUUCCAUCCUUCUUGUGUUCAAUCGAUAUAUUCCAUCCUUCCAAGUUGUCGAAGACUUGCCGUUGUUGCGCACGGCCAUAGCAGCACUUGCGGCAGAUUCCGCUACUGCGUUCAUCGAAGUGAGGAGACGCUGCUUUUCUUCUUGAGAGACAAAGGAGUAUGCUUGGCGGACAGAAGGGAGAGGAUUCAUCAGAAGGAUUUGCCCGCGAAUAGCACUAUAAGAUUCAUUCAAACCCAUCAAUAAUUGCAUCAAUUUUUGUUGAUCUUGUUGUGCCCCAUGUGCUGCAGCGUUGUAGGAAGCUAGUUCAUCCCACAGGCCUUUCAAUUUUGUGUAAUAGGCAGAGAUAGAGAGUUGCUCUUAUCGAAGACAAGCAAUAUCUCGCUGAAUUUCAAAGAUGCGAGGCGCAUUGCUCUGAGAGAAUUGCUCACAGAGAUCUUCCCAAACUUCAUGAGCAGUAGAAUAAUAGAUUACACUAUCCGCAAUUUCUGGAUUGAGAGUAUUGACGAUCUAGGAGUGAACCAUGUCGUUACACCGUGACCAAGUUGCAUAACCUUCAGGAUCAAUUUCUUCUAAAGGAGCCUUGAUCGAGCCAUUAACAAAACCCAAUUUGUUCUUGGAAUUUAAAGCUAGAAUCAUAGGCCUUUUCCAAGCCGAAUAAUUGUCUCCAUUCAAAGAUUUGGAAAUCAAAACCAAACCUGGGUAAUCUGAAUGGUGAGUGAAAUAGGGAUUGGAGAGAUCUGUCUUUGAGAAAUCUGUAGGAAUCUCUGAUUUUGCCAUGAUGAUUGAAGAAAAGAGAUGUUACACGAGAUAUUAGAGUGCAGCGAUGAAUCAGGAUUUUAGUCCUGCUCUGAUACCAUGAAAAGAUGAAUGACAGAGGGAAUUGGCUGAAUAAUAUUAUUGAUGUUGAAGUGUGUAUUUAUACAAGGAGGUUUAAGAUCUUUUUCUACAAGUCAGGAAUUAGCUUACUAUAAUCUAGGCUAUCCAGCUAUAAGUCAGGAAUUACAAUAGGAAAACUAACAUAUACAGAUCAUCUAUUCUUAAUAUGGAAGAUUUAGGAAGAUUGACUUUCCAACACCAGCCACCUUACCUUCCUACCACCUUCCAUUUUUGUUUUUAAAAUUUUAUUUUUUUAUGUUUUAUAUUUAAUUUCUUAAUUUUUUUUAUUAUAAUUGUAAUGAUAUGUUUAAUAUUUGAAUUUUUUUAUUUUUUAUUUAUUUCACAUUGAAAUUUUAAUUUAUUGAAAUUAUUGAAAUAUUAGGUUGAUUGACAUCUAUAGGUAAAAAAUUUUAUGCAAAACUCAACAAAUAGAGUAAAUACUGUCAAAAUAGAUAUAAUUUAUUAUUUUUAUUUUUAAAUUUUCAAUAAUAUAUCAAAUAUAUAUUUAUGACAUCAUCAAUUCGACCGUCGGUCCGACCUGUGAAUCGUGAACCUGUAACUUUUCUCGUUCAAUGACCAGUUUGAUUUUGAAAAUAUUGCUCAUUACCAAACAUAGGGUAAGAAAUACAUUAUAUUUACGAUAUUAUUAUUAUGAUAAAAUACUUUUUUACAAUAGAUAAAAUUUAUCAUUUUCUAAUUUUGGUAAACUAUAUUUUUUUUUCUCUAUCUAAUGAAUUUUAUAGUAAAUAAAUCUUAUAUGAAUCUAUUUUUUUUAAAAAAAAAAUCUUUAAAUAAUUUUUUUAAUAUUACUAAUAAUGUUAAUAAAUCGAUAUGGAUUCAUUUUUUUAGAUUUGUUAUAUGCAAUUUAAAAUUUUUUAUUUCACUAUUUUAUAAUAAUAUUGUGGACCCGCGUUUUUCACGUGAGUGAAAAUUUGAUUUUUUUUGAAAAAAUUUGGAGUCACCACUUAUUUUUUGUUUUGUUUUUUUUAAGGGAAAACAAAAUAAGAAAGAAAACCCUAAGUGUGACUCCUUAUUUGGAAAAGACAGUAUGUGGAAAACCAAAUAGGUCCGGGGAUUAGAUUACCUAUUGGAAAGGUAUAAUGAUAAGUCAUAACACCCCUCUAAGCCUGUAUACAUACGGUCUCUACUAAACAAAUUAAAAGAAUUGUAUCAAUUAAUUAAUUAAUCAUAGAUACCAAGAUUAAAGGAACAAAACAACAUAUACAAAAAUGAUGAAAAAAUAAAAUUACAAGAAUGUACAAAAUAAAUAACAAUAGAAUUAUGCAAAUUGAUUAUUGAACUAAUUAAAAAAAAUAUUUGAAAAAAUUAGUUUUCUGAAAAUUUCAAAGGAUUUUAUUAAAAAACAAUUUUGAAUGAGUGAUUUUAAUUUAUUUAUUUUCAAAACAUUUUCUUCAAGUGAUUUGAUUCAAUUUUAUUUGUAUUUAAUUUUCAAAAAAAAUUAUUUACACUUAUUGCAUAAAAGAAUUUAUUACAAGAUUCAAUUUGACAACAAAAAACUAUUUUUACUUGCUUUUACCCUAAAGGCAUGAAUUUUUACAAUUUUAUUUUUAAAAAAUAUUUUCAUUUAAGAAAAGUGAGUUGUACAAAUUAUUUAAAAAUAUAUAUAACUUUAUUUGCAAACAAAUUUUUAAUUAAAAAUUAAUUUUUGGAACAACUUUAUUCACAAAACAAUUUUUGGAAAAUUUUUAUUAAACAAAUAAAUUUUUGGACACUUAUUAUUAAAAACAAUUUUUUUGGAUUUUUCUAAAAGCAUUUUUUCUGAAUUUUUACUAAUAAAAAACUUUCUUUUAUUAAAAAGAAUAUUUUUAAGUUAUUAUUUUAUUAACACAUAUUUACUAAAUUAUUCCUCUUAUUUAAACAAAAUUUCUUAUUUAUUCAAUAUUCAAUUUUGUACACACUCAAUAAAUAUAUAUAAACGAAUAUUUACAAGAACUAAUAGAAAUAAAAGUGGGAAAUAAAACGUGUAUUCAAACAAACUUACAAUAAGUUCAAUGCUCCAUUUACAACUUUUUGAGUCUCACUUUCUUCCAUGAAAUCUCAUAUUCUACGUGUCAUAAAUUCGUAUUCAACCAACAAAAUUGUAGAAUAGGCUCAUACAAAUAAAAAUAGCUCAAAUAUAAAUAUCUAGAAAUGAAUAAAAUUCACAAUAGAUAUUCAAGCCAAAAUUCAAAUUUCAAAUUAGUCCAACAAAUUUUGUCAAUCAAUAUAAGCCCAAAUUAGCAAAUAUAACACAACAAAAAUAUCUCACAUGUCAUAGGCACUAAUCCAAAAUUUUCAAAUUAAUAGCCAAAAUAUAAACUCAAUUAAUCAAACCCAAAACAUGAUAAAUUAAAAUAAAUUCCAUUAGACCCAAACUUAAUAUACCAUAAUUCAAGCCUAAUUUUAUAUAUAAACCUAAAUCCAUAACCAAAAUCAUCUCAAUUUAAUAUGCAAACCCACAUCCAAAAUAUAUCACAAUAUAAUAUCAUAUUCAAAUUAAAUAAUUUAAAUGAGUACAACCAUAUAAAUUAUCAACUAAUUUAGCACAAAUUAACAAAUUUCAAAUUAAUUCACCAACAAUAAUAUAAAAUAAUAUGAAAUUUAAAAUUUAAGGAUCAAAUUGGAUUCAAAAUUAAUAUAAAAUAAAUUUGGAUUCAAAAUUGGGAUAAAUUUCGGGGUUAUAAAUAUAUUUUUAAAUAAAUAUAUUUAAAAUGAUAAAGGAUAAAGACAAAAAAAAAAACUGGAAACCAACUAAUAUGGUAGGAUUUCACCACGGAUUUGGAAUACCGUGUUGGUAGGUACCACUACAAUAUCAUGGUUUUUUCCCAUUAAGUAUUUUCCUCCGUAUGUACAGAUCACUUUGUUUGACUCUCUGGUUUGAAUUCAGACAAUAAUUUCACAUGCUUGGUAACCUAAACCAUUCAAUAAAGAAUAAAGAUACAUUCAAAUUACUUUUUGAGUAUCUUUAAUUUACAUGAGUUGUAUGGACCGACACCUUUAUUUAUGUCAAUUAUAUGACACAAAUAUCCAUGAUAGUCUCUUUUUUUUUUAUUGUGAAUUUAUGGGUCCAAAUUACUUUUUGACCAUCUUUAAUUUGCAUGAGUUGUAUCCACCGUCACCUUUUAUUUGUAUCAAUUGUAUGAGACAAAUAUCCCCGAUAUUCUCAUUUUUGCAUUGUGAAUUUAUAGGUCCAUAAUUAAUUUAGUUUGAUGAAAGAUUAUUUAAAUCUUAAGUCCAAUUUGAUUUUGAAAAUAAUUAAAAAUUCACUUGAAUUUUAAUUUGAAACUAUGUUUCAACGACUUAACCCAAAAUAUAAUAAAUGAAUUUAAAAUUUGAUUUGAUCUUAGUCUAAUAAUAAUGAAAUACUUUAAUAAAGCUUACAAAAUAUAAAUUAUAAUAAACAUAAUUAAAAAAAAUCAAAUAUUAAAACACUAUAAAUGAGAUAGGUUUAUUAAAAUGUCGAUUAGAUGGUAGUUUUUAAAAUUCUCAAAUCGAUUUAGUUGGAUUGGAUUGAUUUUAUCGAUUUUUUUAGUUUUCAAUGGGAAGAAAGUUUAAUUUUUCAUUUUACAAUGAGUCACCAAAUUCGAAACAAAUGAAUUACAUAAAAAAAAUAAAAAAGGAAAUAAAAACAAUUUUAAAACAAUUGUUACAAUUUUAAAUGAGUAGUGCUAAUUAUAAUUAACAAAUGGUAGAGUAGAGAUUUAAAUAUGUAGGAUUAAUAAAGGCAUGAAAUAUAACCAUAGUAAAAGAUUAUUUUUUUGACCUUCAUAGCCACAAUCAAAACCUUGAAUGCAAGUUACGUCUAAAAUAAGUGGAUACAAAAUCCAUUAUUUGAAAUAUAAUUUGAUUUAAUUAGUUUUUUAAUGCAAUUUAUUUUAAAUUCAAAUAUUAAUUUUGUGAUAUUUACAUCAGAUAGAAGAUAGUUUCUGUCAUUAUAUAAAUAUAAACUUUUCUUAAUUAUGCAAACAUAUUUUAAAACCAUAAAAACUUUUUUGGGUCAGAACAAACAAUAUCUACAUUGUUAGGUGUGAGUCAAUCCUCGACCUAAUAUAGGAUACUUGUUUAGUUCAAUAUGAGGUAUUUGUCUACUUAACCCUAUAUUGUAUAAACACUUUCUUAAAGCUAUAAGAACUCAUUUGGAUCGAAACAAUAUUUACAUGAUUCGGUGAGAAAAGGGUUUCAAAUUUUAUUCGGUUUAAAGAAUAAAAUUUAUUUUUAAGAAAAUUGUUUAAUCAUAUAAAAAAAAAAAACCUAAAAAUCUCUCUUAAAAUAUAAUUUUUUGUAAAAGGAAUUCAUGAAUAAGCAUGUUAAUCAAAGAAAUUUAAAAUCAAUGAUGACUAAUUAUAUUCACACCAAAUCUAAAAAGACGCAAUGAAAUUGAACUUAAAUUUAAUCAUAGUCAUUAAUUAUUGAAUAACCAUAUAUUACUUGUUAGUUGCCACGUCUCUAAUUUCAAUUUGAUACAAUAAAUGCACAGCCGUAUGGUAUUAUAGCCCAUGAUGAGUAAUUAUACUUACACCAAAUCUAAAAAGAUGUAAUGAAAUUGAUCUUAAAUUCAAUCAUACUCAUGAAUUAUUGAAUAGUGAUAUCUUACUUGUUAGGUCUCUAACUUCAAUUCGUACCAUAAAUGCACUUAAAUACCGUUAUCUAAAGUAAAAGAUGCUAGUUGAAAUAAGGGCGAUACGUGCACAUGCAUAAUGUCAUCUAUAGUUUGAAACUAGUACAUUCAUAAAUAACAACGUACAUAAGUAUUUGACUUUCUUUAAUUUGCAUGAGCUGUAUCAACCACCAUCUUUCAUUUGCAUUUGAUUUUCUACGACUUUACUCAUAAUAUUCUCUCUCUCUCUUUUUUUUAUUGUGAAUUUAAUAAAAUAUUUUUAUGAUUGAAUUUAUGUUCACACAAUGGGAACACCCUAAUUAAAAUAUGUUAGGCCCAUAAUUAUUAAUAUUUAAAAUCUAUACUAUUCUAAGGUUAAGGGUUGGUGUCAUUUCUAAAUUUGCUUAAAACUCUCGAUCUCUCGAGUUUAGUAAUUGUUUUCGAAAAUAGUUUUAAAAAACAGUUUUUGAAAAUUGUUAUAUAAUGUUUUAUAAAACAAAAGUUUAUUUGAAAACUCGAAAUAUUUUUAACUUAUUUUUAAUAUUUUUAAAUAUGCUUUAAAAAUAAUUUUUAUAUCUAACGUUUUAUUUUUAAUUAUUCCAUAUAUUUGUAUAAUUAUUUUUCUAAAACAAUAUUUAGAAAACAAAUAAAAAUAAUAAAAAAUAAUUAAAUUUUUUUUUUCAAAAAUAUCAUAUUUUAUGUUCUUAAAAAUAAAAAAUAAUUUGCAUGAGUUGUAUCCACCAUCACCUUUUAUUUGUAUCAAUUGUAUGAGACAAAUAUCCCCCAUAUUCUCAUUUUUCCAUUGUGAAUUUAUAGGUCCAUAAUUAAUUUAGUUUGAUGAAAGAUAAUUUAAAUCUUAAGUCCAAUUUGAUUUUGAAAAUAAUUAAUAAUUCACUUGAAUUUUAAUUUGAAACUAUGUUUCAACUACUUAACCCAAAAUAUAAUAAAUGAAUUUAAAAUUUGAUUUGAUGGUAGUCUAAUAAUAAUGAAUUACUUUAAUAAAGCUUACAAAAUAUAUAUUAUAAUAAACAUAAUAAAAAAAAUCAAAUAUUAAAACACUAUAAAUGAGAUGGGUUUAUUAAAAUGUCGAUUUAGUUUUGUUGACGAAAACCUAAAAUCGAGAUGGUAGUUUUUAAAAUUCUCAAAUAGAUUUAGUUGGAUUGGAUUGAUUUUAUCGAUUUUUUUAGUUUUUCAUGGGAAGAAAGUUUAAUUUUUCAUUUUACCAUGAGUCCCCCAAUUNNNNNNNUUUUUUAGUUUCAUGGGAAGAAAGUUUAAUUUUUCAUUUUACAAUGAGUCACCAAAUUCGAAACAAAUGAAUUACAUAAAAAAAAAGGAAAUAAAAAACAAUUUUAAAACAAUUGUUACAAUUUUAAAUGAGUAGUGCUAAUUAUAAUUAACAAAUGGUAGAGCAUAGAUUUAAAUUUGUAGGAUUAAUAAAGGCAUGAAAUAUAACCAUAGUAAAAGAUUAUUUUUUUGACCUUCAUAGCCACAAUCAAAACCUUGAAUGCAAGUCACGUCUAAAAUAAGUGGAUAAAAAAUCCAUUAUUUGAAAUAUAAUUUGAUUUAAUUAGUUUUUGAAUGUAAUUUAUUUUAAAUUCAAAUAUUAAUUUUGUGAUAUUUACAUCGGAUAGGAGAUAGUUUAUGUCAUUAUAUAAGUAUGAACUUUUCUUAAUUAUGCAGACACGUUUUAAAACCAUAAAAACUUUUUUGGGUAAAAACAAACAAUAUCUAUAUUGUUAGGUGUGAGUCAAUCAUCGACCCAAUAUAGGAUACUUGUUUAGUUCGAUAUAAGGUAUUUGUCUACUUAACCCUAUUUGUAUAAACACUUUCUUAAAGCUAUAAGAGUCCCUUUAGAUCGAGAUAAUAUUUACAUGAUUGGGUGAGAAAGGGUUUCAAAUUUUAUUCAGUUUAGAGAAUAAAUUUUUUUUUUUUAAAUAUUCAAUAAUAUAUAUAAAAAAAAUUACCUAAAAAUCUCUCUUAAAAUAUAAUUUUUUUAUAAAAGGAAUUCAUGAAUAAGCAUGUUAAUCAAAGAAAUUUAAAAUCAAUGAUGACUAAUUAUAUUCACACCAAAUCUAAAAAGACGUAAUGAAAUUGAACUUAAAUUUAAUCAUAGUCAUUAAUUAUUGAAUAACCAUAUAUUACUUGUUAGUUGCCACGUCUCUAAUUUCAAUUUGAUACAACAAAUGCACAGCCGUAUGGUAUAAUAGCCCAUACAUUUAAUAUUUUUAAAUACAUUUUAAAAUAAUUUUUAUGUCUAACAUUUUAUUUUUAAUUAUUCUAUAUAUUUAUAUAAUUAUUUUUCUAAAACAAUAUUUAGAAAAUAAAUGAAAAUAAUAAAAAAUAAUUAAAAAACAUUUUUUUUAAAAACUAUAUUUUAUAUUAUUAAAAACAAAAAAUAAUUUUUGAUUAUCAAACGUGCUUUUUUUUAUUCUAAAAAACAGUUAUCAAACAAACCAUAAAUCUUCUUAUUAAUUUUUAUUUUUGCUUUUAUUUUUUUUAUUUUUUUUUAACCUCCUUAUGAUUUUUUCUCACUCUUUGUUAUCUCCUUGACUUUAUCAUCUUCUUAAAAAUCGUAAAGCUGUUAUGAAUGCAUGAAUGCUAUUUAUUUUCUACCUCAUAAUUUCGUCAAAUUCUAUAUUUAUAGAGAAAAUGAGAGGAAAUAAAUCUAAUAUUUCUAACACUUUAAAUAAAUUUAGUAAAAGAAAAUAAAGAUUAACUUAUCUUUAUUUCUAAAAAUAUAAUUCUAAUAAUAAAUAAAUAAAUAAAUAACCCUAACAUUUUUUUCAACUUUUAUUUUUAAAUUUUUAUUAUUAAGCAGAAAGAUAAAAAAAAAAAGUUCUGAAACAUGUCAUAAUAUAACUUAUGGUCACCAUUCUAGAAUAAUCCCGUGGGAUGAUGACUUUUAAAACCAGUUUGCGAGGGAGGCAUCAUGAAUGCCAUUAAAGAUGUAGCAUGUCCUCCCUACUCACUAGAUAUCAAUUGCUCGUACUUCUUAUCUGUGUUGAUAGUAACAUGACAAUAAGAAAAAGAAAAAAAAAAAAACAUAAUUGAACCGGCAAUUUUUCAAACUUUUUUUUUCUUUCACUUUUGGUUGGUAUUCAUUGACUUUUGGUGUCUAACAAUUGGUAAAAUUUUAAAAAAUAUUUUUAAGAUUUAAAAUUUUUUAUCAUUUAAAUAUUAAAAAAAUUAUAAAUAUUUUUUAAAAUCAUUAUUAAACAAAUUCUUAAUUUUUUUAAUAUUUAAAAAGAUAAAUUUUCAAAUAUUAUAUUCAUUUUCUAAAAUCAUUAUCAAACGAACUUUUAAUAAUGUUUUUCAUCAAGUAUGAGUUACUUAUAACCUUUUUGGAUAAUUUUCUCAAAAAUUAAAAAAGAAAAAAAUACUAAGAGCCUAUUUUAGUGUGAUUUUUAAAAGUCUUAAAAACAUUUAUAAGUGUUUUUAAGUAAAAAAAAAAAAAGUAUUUGAUAAUAUUUAGAAAUACACUAAAGUGUUUUUUAGAGAAACACUUCAAAUAUUUUUAAAACACCAUUUCCUACCGUCCUCCAUCUUUGUUUCCUUCUCAUUAUCCUUUUCCUCUUUCACUUCCCCUUCAUAAAAUAUUUUUUUUGAGUUUUUUUAAUAAUAUAAAUGUUUAUAUAUUUUUUUUAAUAAAAGUUUUCAAUUUAUUAUAAUGUUUUCUUUUUUUAAUAAAUGUGAAAUUUAUUAUUAUUAAAAAGAGUUUUUGUAUUUAUGCAAUAUAUUAUUAAAAACACUAUUAAAAUUACUUUUCUAGAUUUUCAUAAAAGUUUUUUUCAUAAAAAUAUAGUAAAAGAAAAACACUUUUAAUAAAAACACUUCAACUAGAUCAAUACCAAACACAUUCUAAAUCCUUUUUUUUUUUUUUUCUUUCCAUUACAUUUUCCUUUAAAUUUAUUGAGAACCAAACAUGGUGUAAGUUUUUUGGAAGUUAUUUACUUAAAAAAAAAAAAAUUACAACUGAGAGAAGGGUAUUUUUAUAAAAUAAAAAAAAAGUGUAAAGGAUUAAAUUUAGAAAUUUAAUAUUAUUUCAUUCCUUUUAAUUAAAUAACCCUUAAAAUUAGAAUUAAUUUUUUUAAAAAUAAAGAUAAUCAUAAUUAAGGAAGAAUAAAAAAUAAUAACAAUACAAAUAUUAAGAUUGGAUAAAAAGAUUUCAUUCCUAAAUGAAAUAAAAAUAUUUCCUAUUUAUAUUAUUUUGUGAAGAUUAUUUAUGAUAAAAAAAAAUGAUUGGAGAGUUCUUAUUUUGACAAUUUAAUAGAAGAAAAAAGAAUUUAAAACUCAUAUUUAUAAACUCAAAUAUGUCUAUUGCAACUCAAAUUCAUAGGUUAAUGCUGCAAAUUUUGUUACAUAAUGGCCAAGUAGAGUGACAUUUAAAUUCAUAGGAUUAAAUUAUGAUAUGAUUGGUUGCAUUUUUAUUUUUAUUUUUGUUUUUUACAUUUAUCAUCAAUUUUAAAAAAACUUUCAAAAAAAAGUUAGUUGGAUAAAUUGUUUAAUUUUUUCCUUAAAAUGUGAUGAUAAAAAAAAAAAAGAGUAGAAAAAAAAAAUUAUUCUCAACUUUUUUAAAGACAAAACUCCAAAUUAAGAUUAUCAAAUGUAUUUAAUAUUUUAAAAAUAAAAAAAACAUAAUUUAAAAUUAUUUAUAUAUUUAUUUUAUAGAUAAUAAAAAUGACUAAAUCCAGGUAGCAUCAACCUUUUUCUAAUUCUUCUUAAAAAAUUAUAUAAUAUUCAUAUUUAUAUUUUAAAAAUAAUUAAAAAACUACUAAAUCCAAGCAUAUAUAUAUAUAUAUAUAUAUAUAUUAGGAGAAAUUUAUGGAUUAAGAAUAGUUUUCUAUUAUCUUGAAAAAAGAAAAAAAAAGUGUUUUGUAACUAAAAACAGUUUUCUAUUGUUUUAAAAAAUAAUUAUACAAGCAUAUUGGAUAUAAAAAUUAUUCUUAAGAUAUAUUCAAAAAUAUGUUAAAAAUAUUUUAGGUUUCUAAAUAAUGUUUUUAUAUUUUAUUAUUAUUGUUUUUUACAAAACAUGAAAGAACAAUUUUUAAAAAUUAUUUUUGAAAGAGUUACCUAAUAGGCCGUAAUGACGAUCUUGGGACAAUGAAAUGUUUUUUAAGGGAAUCAAAUUUGAAGUAUUUCUUUUUCGUUAUAAAUUCAUUCUUUUCAUUUUUUAUAUUAUCAAUUUAUGAGAUAAAAAUUUAAGUAAUAAUUAAAUUUUUUAGUUUGAAAGAGAAUAGAAUUUAAUAGAUCUAUGUUACCUAAAAUAAUAUAUAAUAAAAUAUUACAAAUAUUAUUUACCAAUAUAAUUAAAAAAUUUAUUAAUAAAAGUUUAAAUAGUUUAAUAAUGAAUAUUAUUUAUAAAUAAAUAAAAAAUUAUGCAUUAAAAUAUACAUUGCAAAAAUAUUUUAUGAUAAUAUUAAUGCCAAUUUGAUAUAUAUUUUUUUAAAUUCAAGUAAGUGGAAGAAUUUUAUAUUUUUUAAAAGAUAAUAUUAAUAUUAUAAAAAAAAUUUAUUAAAUGUUGAUACAACACUUUUUAAGGAAAAAUAAAGUUUCUGCAAAUAGCAAUAUUUUUGUGACUUUUAUAUAAAUUCCUUUAUAAAUCAUAAAUUUUUUAACAAAAUUAACCAAAUGAAUAUAAAAAUUUAUACUAAAUUAAAAAAGAGUUUUUGAUUUCUCGGAUUAAAUAUAAAAUCUUUCAUUAAACUUGAAAAGGAAGUUUGGGUUUCUCAAAAAUCGUUUUUUUAUUAUAUAUUUUUAAUAUCAAAUAUAAAAAUGUGAUAUUAUUUAUACUAAAAAAUAUUUUGAUAAGCAAAUAAUAUAUUGUUAUAAAAUAUGAAAAUUUAUAUCGAAACUUGUUAAUGAUUAUCCUAUUGAUGUAUCAUUUUUAAAAAUUUAUUCCGUUAUUUUGUUUUAUAUAUAUAUAUAUAUAUAAAAUAAUUUAUAAAAUAAUAUUAAAUAUUAUAUCCUUAAAAAAAAAAUGAUGUGUCAUUAUUUCGUUGGAAGUAAUAUCUUAGUAUAUCUAAAUGAGACAAUCACUAAAGUUAAAGGGUCAACAAAGAGAUGAGCAGGUCGUGAGCCCUGACAUCGUAACGUGGAGGUUUCUCAUGGGUGAACACAAAGGUCGAUGACGAAAGGUCACGUGACAGCGACCACCGACCAGCGACCAGACCCCCGCCUUCCGCCACUCGUCUAUAUGUAUCGGUGCUCCGAGAGUUCACAAAACAGAACCAGAUUCCUUCCGUCGCUACCACGUCGAAAAGGUAUCCAGUCUCUGCCACUCCCUCAACCUCCGUUUGUUUCCCGAGAAAAUGCUGGAAAAAUAAAAAAAAUUCAGUGUUACCUUUUUUGUUAUUUCAGUAGAGAUUUGUUUUUUCGGAUUCCGAAUAGAUGAAAAAUCUAAGAUUCAUUAUUUUUUUUUUUCAGUUUACACUUUACGCACCUUUAUAUAUUUUGUAUGUAGUCGAUUUGGGGCCACAGAUCGCAGGUUACGAGUUUUAAUUGAUAUUGUGCUUAAAUCAUUAUUUCUCUGUUACCUGGAGAGUUGAUUUGAAGUUCAGAUUGCCUUUUUAAUGAGAUUGGGUUUUUUGAUGCAUAUAUAACAUUGAACACUUGAUUUAUUUAUUAAUCUACAUGCUUUGAUUUAGGUAUUUUGAUAUCCAACGUUAUAUUAGUUCACUGCAAUAGUAUAUUUUAUGGUUUAAUAUGGGGUGUCAAUCAUUAAAAUCUGUGUAAGUUCAAAUUUUCACUGUUUUUUUUUAUAUCUACUUAUGUCACCAUAUCCUUUUUAAUUGAGUGUAGGUUUGGGUUCAGAUCAAUUUUGACAGUGAUGCAGCUUGUAUGUUGAGUGUUAAGUUAUUUAUGUUCAUAUAUGAUGUCUUUUGCAUCUGGUUAGAGUGAAUUCAAUGUUACAUUGAUUUUCAUGCAAUAUGCAUGGUUCUCUGCAUUGGCUUCAAUUCUAAGUUUGUUCUCCAUGUCAGUAAAUUCUAUUCUAUAUGGGACAGAGUUUGCUCAAGGUUGCUUCCGGUUUAGUUUUGUAAACCAUCUUCUCUGAUGUUUCAUGUCAUGGUUGGCAUUAGUCUCAGUCAUGGUGUAGCUGAGCCAUGGUACAAGUCAUCAAUUUUUAUUUUUUCAGGUUUUUUUUGUUCAAGACUAAUUUAUUUUCUAAAUGAAAUCGUGAAAAAAAGCACUUACUUCCCUCUGAAAUGUGGGGACUAUGUGGUUUGGUACGUGUGUGUGUGUAUAUAUAUAUAUAUAUAUAUUAAAUAUGGAGUAUUUCAAAAUUUUAUAUUGUUUUCAUUCCCUUCAAAUCAAUUCAGCCAUAGCCAGGCGCCUGUUGCUUUCAUUUCUAAUUCAGUUCCAUGUUUCUUCUCUACAUUAUUGAGCGUCAUGGAAAAUCUCAUUGUAAAAUGUAGACAAUACAGAUUGAGAGCACUGCUUUGGAAUUAAUUGGUGGUGUUUUCCAUAGUCCCCUAUACUGUAAAUCUAAUAGGCCCACUUGAGAGCCUUAGGUGCUAUGAAAAAUAAGCACAAGGUCCUUGGUUUUUUUUUAUGCUGACUAAUAAAACCAAUUAAUAGGUCAUGUGUUAUUUGAUUAUUUUCUUCAUGCAAGUCAUGGGCUUUUUGUGGGCUUCUUUUACUUGUACAAUUAUUUAUUGCAACAAUUCACACUGAUGUUUGCUUCUUCCAUAAACUGGCCAUUUUGAUUGAGAAGAUUUAACAUUUGUGCAGGGCUUUGAUAUGGAAAAACGUGGUGGCAGUGGAGGAAGCCAAAUCUUUGAAAAUUUGGGCACUUUUUUGCGAAAAUGCAUUUUUUCUGUUCUUUCUGUUGGUCCCAUCCCUAACCACAUUGCCUUUAUCAUGGAUGGGAACCGCAGAUUUGCCAAGAAGCAGAAUUUGAUAGAAGGGGCUGGUCAUAAGGUUGGGUACUUAGCUCUUAUGUCCAUGCUCAGGUACUCAUAUGAGUUGGGCGUGAAAUAUGUAACAAUUUAUGCCUUCAGCAUUGAAAAUUUUAAACGACGUCCUGAAGAAGUUCAAUCUGUGAUGGAUCUGAUGCAAGAAAAGAUUGAGCAGUUAAUUAAUGAAGAGAGCAUUUUGAACCACUUUGGAGUUAGGGUUCAUUUUAUAGGGAAUCUGAAACUCUUGAGUGCACCGGUCAGGUUGGCAGCAGAGCGGGCUAUGCUGGUCACUGCCUGUAACUCCAAGGCGGUGCUUUCAAUUUGUGUUGCCUAUACUUCCACCAAUGAGAUUAUGCAUGCUGUUGAAGAAUCUUGUGUAAAAAAAUGGGAUGAGAUAAGAGAACUAAAGGCAAGUGGAGUUGAUUGUGGUUUAACUAAACUUGAAGGAUAUGAAAAGGGUGAAGCACAGGACCUUAUAAAUUUAACAGAUAUUGAGAAGCAUUUGUAUAUGGCAGUUGCACCUGAUCCUGAUAUAUUAAUUCGCACUUCUGGUGAAACCCGCUUGAGCAAUUUUCUACUCUGGCAGAGUCAGUACUGUUAUUUGUACUCUCCAUCUGUGCUUUGGCCAGAGAUUGGUUUUUGGCAUUUGCUUUGGGCAGUUUUGAACUUUCAGCGCAAUCACUUUUAUUUGGAGAAAAAAAAGAAACAACUAUAAGUCUUGCAAAUGGAUGGCAGGGCAGUUUUCACCUCUGGACUCUAAUAUGACUGUAUUGGUUCAUUGGCUCUCUCUUUGUUCUUGAUUUAUUCUCUGUGACAAAAGCUGAUUGCAACAUGGAAGGACUGUUCCUAGUGCUGCUACACUGGAUUCUUUGGCUGAGAAUGCAUCAAGGGGCUACAUCAUAAGGAUAUUUUGUCCAUUGCAGUGGCCAAGUGUUUGUUGGGUGAUACUGUUGCAGAUCAAGAUAUGAUAAGUGGAGUACGUAAUUUUCCCUUCGCUUCUUUCAUGUUAUGUUGAUGGUUAGCUUCUUUCAUCAUAUAUUGGUGGAUAAUUAGCUUUGAACGCAGAAAACAAUUGUAUUGUAAUGAUUAAUUAUUUGCCAUAUGAUGAGAGUAAUAUGAGUGCUUUAUAAUUUAAUCAAAAUUUUCUUAAAGUCCAAUUAAUUUUUUUUUUUAAAUUAUUUUUUCAUUAAAUAAUACUGAGAUAACUUUUUGGGAGGACAUGACUGUUGGGACAUGUAAUUUCCUCCCUUAUGUGUUACAUGCUUUAUGAAGUGGAAGCUUUCUAUCACCUUCAACUGUAGACAUGUUGAGCUUCAUAGCAUAGCCAUAUUCAUUUCCUUUUGCUUCAUUUAACUUACACAUGGACAUUUGAUUGAUUCCUUGUUGAAAACAUGUAAUUCAGCAAAACAGGACAAAAUGACUACUUAUGCUAUUUAGUUAGUUAUGUACCCAGUCGACUGGGUAUGCAUGCCUUAACUCAUAUGAUGUGUUAUUUCAAUAUCAUUAUGAUUAAAUAGAAAAAAGAGCAAAUAUAUAUUAAAAAUCCCAAAAUAGAGGGCAGGACAUUCUUUUUUUCUUUUUUGGGUUGGGGAUAACAUAAGUACAUUUUCCAGAUAUUAUAGCAUUGAACAAUGCUCUGUCCUUUCAUCCUCCACCCAACCUAUGCAUGGAAUUUAAGCAGGAACCUCUUGUACCAGUAAUAGCUAGAAGCAUUCAUUAAAACAGCUAUUGAAGAAAUAACUCUUUCGGCUUCAAACUUGACAGUUUUUCAUCUCAAAGAUUUUUCCAUUGCAUUCUUUCCAUAUGCAUCACAUCACACCUUGUUUUGUUUCAUCUACUUCAAAUGCUAGAGUCUUCCUCACUAUUAUGCCCACAACCCAAAUCCCAUCUAACUUAUCAAAAAAAAAAAACACCCAAAUCCCAUCCAACUAAAUGCAUCUUCUACUCUUGACAACUGCCCUGCGAAAGUCACUCUGCAGCUUUUCAUAUUUAUGCAUCACCAAGCUGAAAUAACAAUGGCUAGAUAAAGGCCGGAGAUAUAUUUAUGGAUGAAGAAGGCUAUCAUACUAGACAGGGUGCUUUUGAUGAGCAUCAUUCUACCUUCUUUUGACAAGUACUACCUAUUCCAAGGUUUCAGCCUUGUGACAAGCUCCUAGCAAAAGACCCCCAUGAAUGGUAGGCUUGGAUCUCGCUUACAAUAAAAGCUUUGAGAAAUCUUCAAUGUCCCUGUUGGAAAAAUUACUUUUAUUCAGAUUUACCUUGCGAGUCAAAGCAAGCUUGAAAGGGGAUGAAUUAUCAACUUCUUAGCAAAUUGUUUUCAGCCUAUGAAAUGAAAUAGAGGUAUUGUGUGUAGUGCUUGCAAUACGAGCUCCUCUCCCUCCCCUCUCAGUCCCACCCAAAAGUUCAUAAAUGCACCUGCCUCCACUUUCAUUAAUCAUUCUAUGCCUCCAGUUAUAAUGAUGAAAAGGCAAGAGGAUAAGGUAGCUUCCAGCCUAAACCCCCUAGAAUUCUCAAAGAAGCCAGUUGAAGGUCCUAUUCACUAGUAUAAAAAAUUUUACUGUUGAGAUGCAUGUCUUUAUCAAGCCAACACAUGUAUUCCUGAACCAUCUGGUUCAAUGGGUAAAGAAGUUAAUUUAAUUGAACAUAAUCAUAUGUUGUCUCUAUUUUCGUGCUUAUUUAUCAAAAAAAAAAAAUCAUAUGUUGUCUCUAUAUCCAUCCACAAAUGUUUAUGUAACCUGGAAUUGGUUAAUUCACUAGCAAAAAUUGCUGCACCAAGAACUUGACAACCCUCUGUAGAUGUAUUUGGUGAAGUGGCAAUAACUUUUCAAUUACUCCCGUAAGCUCUGCACAAUUCUGUGGCUAGAAAGCCAUAGAUAUCCAUUAUGACUAGAGCUUUAUCCCCAAAAGGUCUCAAAGUGGACACUGCCUUCUCCUCAAACCUCUCUCUAGUCAAUUUUGUUUGCCCUCAUAGGUAUGAAUUGCUAUCUUCCAUUUAGCAUUAGGUUUUGAAGAUACCUAAACAAGCAUUUACAGUAAAAUAUUUUCCCAAGGUGCUCUUUUCCUUUGUGUUAUUAGUGGUGUAGGCUUCUUGUGUCCAUCCAAGGUAAGUUUUGAUUUUUAUUGUUUAUUUAUUUAUUUAUUUUUCUUGGAAGCUCUUUGGAGGAAGAUUUUUACUAUUGAUCAGUUGGUGAAAAAAGAGAAAGAUCCUGAUAAAUUAGUGUUGCUUUUGUAGGCAGAGUAGUCAACUAGUCACAUUUACUUCAUUGUGUGGUGGCUCAACCUUUUGGUAUAUCUUGGGUGAUGGCUUGUUAUGUUAAGAGAUCACUCUUUAGCCAACAAGGUUUUGUGGAAGUUUAAAAAACUACACCCAUGAGCUUGUUUUGGUGCAUUGAAAGCGAAAGGAUCAAAGGAGCUUUGAAGUUGUCAAAGUUAAAAUUGGAAAACAUUUUUCCUUAUGUCUUUAUUUUUGUUAUCUAGAGAUUCCCUCCUUUUGUGUGUGUGCAUAUGUGUUUGGGAAGAGGGGGUGGAAGUUUUUCUUCUAGAUUUAAUUGGUAGGGUUCGCUUAAGGCCUUCUUUUUGGCCUCUAGGGUUAGGCCCAUUCAUUCUUUUUCCCUUGUUAUUUUGAGACAAAAAGUUGUCUUAUGCCUAUACAAAUUAAUACAAAACAUAUGCACAUAGUCUUUAAAAUACCAUAAAAGACUAAAUUAACCCUUAAUAAAACUAUUACCUGGAACCCUUUAACACUCACCCACAAGUUGGGGUGUAUAUACUCCUAAGACCUAGCUUGGCACACACAAUAGUGGUAAAAUGAUUGUCAGCCUUAAUUUACCAGGUCCUCUCAUGAAACAUGGGUAACUCACAAUGUGAAUUGCAGUUUGAUUAUCAUGAUACAUAGUUAAGGGCUUUUGAAGAGAAAACCCAAGCUUGCGUAAAAAUUUUUGGAUCUACAUUAUCUUACACAUUGUAUGAGCCUUAACCUUAUAUCCUACAUUAGGACUAGGCAUUUUACUCAUAUAGUUUACUAGUUACCACCUAUAGAGAUACAAUAUCCACUAGGGGGCCUCUUGAUAGUUGAAAAUUUUGUACAAUCCUUACCUGAAAAGCUCACAACAUCAAGGAUGGAGCCAAACCUUCUUUUAUGGAGCAAUUUCAUACUUAUGGUAUCUUUGAGAUGUCUUAGGAUUAGGAUUUUGCACAUUGCUUCCUAGUGAAUCUACUUAGGUACUUUCAUGAAAUUACUAAAGAUUUUUCUUUUAUAUGAAAAUACAAGACUAUCAUCUCUGUUAAGUUUCACAUUUUGUUCCAUAGGCAUUUCGAUUAGAUUCAUUCUUAACAUGCCAAUUUCAUUGAACAUAUUCAAUACGGUCUCACUUCUACUAUAUGUAGCUUCAAGGCCUAAGAAGUAACACAACAACCUAAGAUCUUAAAGGUCUUUUUCAAGUAACUUUUCACUUCUUUAAUGCUUGUAACAUCACUAUAAGAGACAAUAAUAUCAUCUUCAUAUACAAUGAGUAUUUGAUGUCGUUUUCCCUCUUGAGAACAAAUACAAAGUGGUCAAAAUUAUACAUUUAAAACCAAUUGAUAGAAGAAUAAUAAUUAAUUUAUUAAAGUAGGCUCUAGGAGAUUAUUUUAAUCCAUAAAUAGCUUUAUUUAAUUUGCAAACUCUAACUUCAUACUCCCUCUCAAGCAAUAGACUCAAAUGAUUGGCCUAAAUAUAUUUCCUCGUUCAAAUUAUAAAAAUGCAUUCUUCACAUCUAGUUGAUGUUGACUCCACUAAAAAAAAUUGACAAACAAGGAAUCUAAACAUGUCGUAAAUUUGGAAAGGCAACAAGGGAAGUUCUUAAAUUAAUCCACACCAUAUGAGAAUACCCUUUUUGAACUAAUCGAGUUCCAAAUCAUUUUGUGGUCUCAUCUAGAUGAUACUCGCCAAUAACCAACAAAAUCUUUCCUUUGAGGUAAGGCAGUAAGCUACCAUGUUCUUUUAUCAAAGAGAGCAUUCAUUGCUUCUUCUGUUGCCUUUUUUCACCCAUGGUGAUUUAAAGCAUUUUGAUAAGACUUAGUGAUGGAACUAUAUGACAAGGCAUGAAUAAAAGAUUGAUAGGGGACAAGUUAUCUAAAGAUAUAUAAUGGGUAAAAAGGAUAAUGAGUACGAUUGUAUUUACCUUUCCUAAGUGUAGGGAGGGAGGGAGACUAGGAAAGCGGGGGGGAGGGGAUUUGAAAUAGUAGGUGGUGUAUGAUCAUCUUAUGAAGAGUUUAGAGGAGGUGGAGGUUGAGAUUAAUUUGCUUCCCUACUCAUUUUGUUUCCUCUGAUAUACUUGUAAUGGUUUGUAAUUCUUACAUGGAGAAGUAUCAGUAACAACAGGGAGAGGAAGAGUAUGGGGUAGGCUCAAUUAGUUACAUGAUGUAAAAAUAAAUGGUAGACUAAAACAAGGUUACAGUAGCACUAAUUUAUAAGACACAAGAUUCGAGUACUUAAAUAUUUUCUAAGCUUUUAGAGUAUCUAAGAAAUGCACAUUUAAUAAAUGAGGAUCAAGCUUGUCUUUGUUUGGAGAAAACCUAUGAAUGAAGAAAAUGCACCCACAAACCCCAAGAGGGUGAGAAAAUAGAGGAUGAUAAGAAAAUAACACAAGAUAUGGAGUUCUAUAAUGGAAUGUGGAGGAGGAUAACUGAUUGUCAAAUAACAUGCAUUGAGAAUAACAUAUCCCUAAAAAAAUUUUGGCACUCAUGUAAAACAUAAUAGAACAAGCAACAUCCAAUAUGUGAUGAGUUUUUUUUGUUGUAACUAUCCCUUGUUGUUGGGGUGUGUAAAUAAAUGAAAACUGGUGGAUAAUUCCGUUUCCAAUACACAAGCACACAAAAAAGGAAACUAUCAUCAUACUUAAGAGCAUUAUCAUAUAAGAACACCAAUUGAAAGAACAAAGUGUUUAAAUGCAUGAGGUACUGGAACCUUUAUUUUGACAAAAAUAACUAUGUGCCUUGAGGGCAAUCAUCAAUAAAACUAAAAAAUACUUAAAUUCUUGAACAUUAGGGAUGUGACAUAGACCCCAAACAUAUGAAUGGAUUAAAGCAAAAGGAUAGGAAAGAUAACCUAUGGUUUUGGUCAAGUUUACAAGACUCACGCUCAAACUCAUUGACUUUGAAAAGAAGGAACAAAUGAAGAAAGAGCUUCAAGAUUUCACAUCUUCCUUCCCUAAGAUUGAAAUCAAGACUGACUAUUAAGAUAGUAGGGCCUAUCUAACUUAAGCCCCCCUAAAAAUGUUGCCUAUCAAAAAAACAAACAAACAAACAAACACCCUCCACAAAUCUUCCUCUUCAUGUGGAGAUCGUGAAAAAGACAUUGAAAAGAAAAAAAGACAUCUAACACAAUUAAAUUAUUUAGUAAAUUGACUAAUAGAUGAUAAAUUAAUAGGAAAUUUGGGUACAUACUAAUAGAAUUAAGUUUAAAACAAAACAAGGGAAUGGGAUGGAUCACUCCUUGAUUAAGAGCAAAAGAUGAAGAUCCAGUAGGACUAAGGAUGCAUUAGAAGACUUGGUUAAAUUAGAAAAUUAUGAGGAUUCACUAGUGACAGCUCUCUAAUCUAUAAUCCAAGGGGAAGAAGACUACCCAAAAGCAAGAAGAGCAUGCAUGCCUAAAUGUGCCAAGGUAAUAGUUGGAGCAUUGAGGUUAAACUAAUAGGAAAUCUCAGAAGACUGUUGCUUUAUUUUGCUGUAGUCAUCCAGAGUCAAGGUCAUAGACUGAUUAUUGCCAGCAAGCUUAACAAUGGUAGGAACAUAAAUUUUGCACAAUGUGAUUAGCUCAUGUAGGAUGACCAAACUUAUUCCAACCUUUAUCAAAGAUAUGAUUCAUUCUGCCAUAAUGUAUGCAUUGCUAGAAACAUUUAUCUCUACCUCUCUCUAAACCUUGGUUUUGAUCUCAAUUAGGCUGACCACCUCAACUUGUUCCUGAAGAUGCAAGAGCUGAAGUAUCCUAAAUCCCCAAUGAAGAGGACUAUAGAUCAAUACGCUAAAGAUAGGCAUUACUAAAAGAUGGUCUUUUCUCACUAGCCAAUAUACUAUGUUUGACUUCAACAUAUUUGCAAUCAAUGAUAGAGAGAAAUUAACAACCUGAAACUCUUCUCUUUGCCUUUUCUAAAUUUCUAUAUCAGUAAACAAUAGUUAAUAGCAAUUUAGUUUCUUCCACAUGCAUAAUGCCCAAAGAUUUCUUGUCUUACUUUGUCUUAAAAAUAUCCUUGCAGCUUACAGAUUUGGAAAAAAUAUAUAUAUUUUUUCUUGGAGUAUGUCACUCUAACUGCAUCUCAUAUCUCCUUUAUAGUUUCUAGAAGCAUGCAAUUGACACCAACAGAGGAUUCCAUACUCUUCCAUAACCAUAUUAUUAUACUGAAAUGAUCGUAUUACUCAUCAUAACUCCUUGAUUUGUGGAAAACAAUUAUCUUCAACAGUAUGCUUUAGUUUACUCUGUCUCAAUAUACACCCUCAGGUCCUUCAUAGCUUUAGCCCACAAUAAAUAUCUAAGUGUUUUACAACUCAACUGGACUACGGUUUGCGCUUCAAAAGUUUGAGAGUGUUGGUUUUUUCUGUGUUUUUAGUUUUCUUUAGUUGAGUGUUUUCUCUUUUGUUCAGUUUUUAUUUUGUGGGAAGGACCUCUCAUCCUUCUUUUGGUUUCUUCUCUUUCUCUUGUAUCUCUUCUUUUUCUUGUAUUUUUUCCUCUAUUAAUAUACUUUUCUUCGUUUCUGAUAAAAAAAAAAAAAAUAUACACCCUCAGGUCCUUCAUAGCUUUAGCCCACAAUAAAUAAUUAGGUCUCUUUUCUGUCACUAAUGUGAUUUGAAUACCAAUACCAUCUCCAAAUUUGUGAUCACCGAAUGCCAUAAUUUAACUAUUGAAGGGAGAAAAUAAGAACUACAACACUUAUCUUUAAAGCAAAGGGAUGUUAGUCAACUUCAACAUUGGCAGGAACUUGCAUUAUAAUUGCAUAACAUGACAUGGGUGAUACACAUCUUACACACCAACAAUCAUAGAGAAGGAUUGUUGUACUACAGACAUAAGAAUAGUACUUGCAUAACAUGGGCACAAGGAGUGGCAUAACACUUGGAUCAGAUACUUUCAGGUGUGGGAUACUAUAGUGGUACUAUGACUUGGGUACUAUAGUGGGGUUACAGCAACAUCAGUACUGUAGUCAAUGUUUUAAAAGGCUAUUAAGGCGUAUGCCUUGAGGCUUAUGUUUUAAGGCUUUGUGAAUUAGUUUUAAGGCUAAGUCUCAAUUAGGGUAUUUGAGUCUUAAAUCUCGCCUGAUUAAGGUUUAUAACCUUAAGGCUAUAUUGAGGUUUAAGCCACAAAUAUUUAAAGGGUUUUCAUGGGUUUGGGGCCUUUCUGGACUUUUGGAAUAUUAUACAAGGCUUAAGCCUAAUUUAAUGAGCUUAAAUUGGUUUCAUACUUUUGUGGGCUUUUAAUAUAGAUUUUAUAAGUUGUCUUAUUCUGUUAUAAAAUAGCACAUAUGUGUGUGUAUGUGUGUAUUGUUUGCUGAAUACCAUAACCCUAGCUAAAUAAAACUCUUACUAAUAAUCCUUUAACAUUCCCCUUUUCUUUUCUUUGGUAUUUCUUGUGUUUGUUAUAUGCUUCCUAUGUACUAGGGUUUGACCCCCUAUCAAUGCUUUUUUAUAUUUUGUGUUUGCCUAUCAAAAGAAGUGUGAAUGCAAUCUCAUUUUCCUUUUUCUUCUCUUUUUCUUCAUACAGGACUUUAAAUUAUUUUAAUUGUUGAUACUGUUAUUCCACUUUAAGCAAUCAAUGGAGGUCAACAGAGAGUUCCACAUUAUGUCAAAAGAAGCUAAUUCAAUUUGUACUAGAAGAAUGUGCAUGGCUCCCUCAGGUUGUUGAUAUGUCACAAUUCUUUUCAUUUGGGAUUUAAUCUGACAGUGCAAUCUCAGCUGGUUCAUAUUUAUAAACUUUGGAUUUGAUUCACAUGUAUGCAAUCCCUUACAUUUGAGUUAUAGUACUUCCGAAUGAUAGAUCAUUAAAUAUAUUUGUUGGUCCCAGUCUUCCUUACAGCUUUUGACAGGUAAAUCUUCAGUAAGUUUUUAGCUUUUUGUGAUCAUUAGUCUUUCUCCCAGUUUCUUGCAGUGUUAUGGUUGCUUAGUGUAUUGGUAUAUUUUUGUCUUUGUUCUGACUUGAACCUAGAACCUCCCAUAAACCCUUUAUUACUUGAGCUUGGCCUCAAGGGCAUUUUGGUUGUUUAGUGUAUUGUCUUCCAUAGAACCAUUUUUAUCCAAUUGGAUAACCAAAUGGUAUAGUGACAUUUUUUCUAAUAUACAUUGGGACUAACGUCAUUCUAAAGAUAAAGCUAAAAUGAGUAAAUCCAGCUGCAAUUUUGGCUUUGGAUGGGUCAUCAUAGAAAUGUUAUAUUCGUAAUUUUACAAUAUUCAUUAAUUUUUUUUUUAAUAGGUAAAUAAGAGUUUGUAUUAGUAAAGGCUAGAAACGGUGAAAAAAGUACUUCGCGAAGUAUACAAACAACACCCAAGAGCUAGGCAAAAAGAAAGACGAAAACCUUUCACCUAACUAAACAAAAGCCACUCUAUAAAAUCAAUCAUGGACAAUAUUCGUUAAAUUAAUUAGAAUGUUAAUGUUUCUAUGCUUGUUACAAUGUUGAGUGUGUAAAUAUUUUAACAUGGUCUGUGUCAUAUGCAUGAUUUAGAGUUUUCAUGAACAUUUAAUAGAUGAUGUGCACAUAUAGAUUUUCUGCCUAUUGCUUUUAUUGAAUGAAUAUCUUCUAAUGUAUUUGCUCCGUCAAUACCAAACUUCUGGGACUGGUUAUAUUGUUUUGAUUCCAAUUUCCUUUUAUGUCAACUGGCCAUGGUUUUUUAUCCUCAUCAUUGUUGCAAUUCUUGUAUGGGAUUACUGGUGCAGUUUUUAAAGUGGCACAAGAACAAUCAUAUGCUGAUUCUAUGGAAGGAAUUGCUUCUCAUGUAAUUUCUUGCUCUGGCACUUUGAUUGGGCUUGUGGUAAAUUGGUCAAUCACUGGAUGGAAGAUUGGUCUUGAUUUUCAGGCUUAAGUUAUGUAUAUUAGUGAGGUAUGGAACUUAUGAGCUUACCUCAUAUAUAAGAUCUGUUGCACAUAAGUCAUUUUCGAUUUAUCAGAUGUUUUCAUUCUCCCUUCUUCAUGGGUUUUGUUUUGUUUUUGUUGAUGAUAUAUGUAGAUAAAGAGCCAAGGAUUAUCUUCUUCCAAGAUCUAUAUAAAAAUCAGAACGGACAUGGUUGGAAAGGCUUUCCUCAUUGAAUUUUUUUUUUUCAUUUUUUUUGUUUAUUUAUUUUAUUAUCAUUGUGGUGUUCUGGGGCAGGGAUAUGCUAAAUGUAAAAUAUGCGAAAUGUACAUUUAUUUUCCCUUAUUAUAUUUCAGUGGCAUGAAUUUAUUUCUGGUCAGCCAUUUUUAUGAUAAAUGUGGAAGACUUAUCAGUAUCUCCCUCCUUAAUUUCAUAUGAGAAGUGCUUAAUGUCUUAUUGAUCUUUUGGGAUGUCAUGAGCUUAAAGCAAUGGGAUAGAUGUGAUGUCAAGGGGUAUUUUUGUGGCUGUUGCCACGCAUCUUACUCAUCAAUUAUAAAUGCCAAAAUUACAUGGUUUGGUUAAGGCCCAAAUCAAUUAAUUGCAAUAGAUUCAUAUUGCAUUCUCUUUGAGUAGCAGUGGUCGUGACACAAAAGUUGUACUCCACCAUUAUUUCACCAGGUUUGUAUGGUACAUGUCUUAGUAAAACUAUGAUGCUUCUCUCAAAUUCCUUUCAAUUCCUUUCUCAUAUUUCCUUCUUUCCUCUAAGGUCAAAACUCCCUUGUUUCUCAGGACAAACCAUUUCUCAAGACUAUUGGAAUCUUCUCUUCUUAGAGCUGGUGAAAUCCAAGUAUCAGUGCAAAUUACUGAACUCAAAUCGCAAUUGAAUCAUGACUCAUGAGACAGUUCAUGAAGAGGGUAGAAAGGUCUUGUAUGUAGAAUGGUGGGGGCACAGUGCUGCAAGGUCAAAACUCUCUUGGUCUCUUUGUUUGCUUUCGAUUCAUCAUCAUCACCAAGGGACGUAAGCACUUGACAACAUGGGGUUUUUUUUCUCCUUUCUAUCGUCAUUAAGUGACAUAGAGAGAUUUAUAUAUAUAUACACACACACAUAAGCAGUAUGAUCUCAUCAUUAACUUAAUCUAACAAGCAUGUGAUGUUUGCAACAUACGUAAGCCAUAUGAUCUCAUCUUUAUAUAUAUUUACAACUAUAAAUAGAACUUGUCCUUUCUGUUCUAAUAGAGGGAUCUAUAUUUUCUUAUUGCUUUUCAGUUCCCAAUACAAAUAAACUAAUUUACAGCAUAGCCAUCAGUGCCUGCACACACCAACCAGAUUAGAUGGAAGAAUAGAAUCCGCACCAAUGCAGAAAAAAGUAAUAAUAUAUAAAGUAGCGGGAUUUAUGUUUUCUUAUUAUUUUAUUUUUGACAUUCUGUUAUUGUAUGAUGAAUUAGUGAUGUUAGGAGGAUGAUGAAAUAGGGAUACGUCAUCUGUGUGACAUCACAAGAAGCAACCUGAUAAAAAAUUGUCACCAAGAAUGCAUACAAAAUUAGUCUUCUGAGAAUCCAUCCCUAUUGGAAGAUCUCACCUUAAAUUUCUGCCAUUUGUAGGCUUUGCCCAUCCAGUAUAAAUAUUAGGGGUAAGUUAGUAUUCUCAUUGAGGUAGACAUGGAACCAGACUCUAAAGAAAAAUCCAAUGAAGAGAAAGGAGAGGUACGAUACAGAGGUGUGCGAAGGCGGCCUUGGGGAAAAUUUGCAGCAGAGAUUCGUGACCCAGCUAGGCAAGGAGCGCGCAUGUGGCUUGGGACUUUCACUACGGCAGAGGAAGCAGCAAGAGCUUAUGAUCGAGCAGCUUAUGAAAUGAGGGGUCCCUUAGCCAUUCUCAACUUCCCUGAGGAAUAUGAAAAUGUUGCUUGUCCUUCUCACUCUUCAUCAGUUAGGUUCCCUGAGGAACGUCAAAUUGUUGUAUCACCUCCUUGCUCUUCAUCAUCUUCGCCAUCAUCAUCCUCAUUGAUGUUUGAGAAUACAGAAAGAACUAGGGAUGUGCAUGAAAAACAAGUUUUUGAAUUUGAGUACUUGGAUGACAAGUUGUUAGAAGACCUUCUUGAGUGUGAGGAAAAGAAAACCAAGAACGAGUGAAGGUUUUCAGAACUUGCGGGGAUUGUAACAUAAUCAUCAUUGACUUAUACCAUUAUUCAAUGUUACCGUGUUUUCUUAAUAUUUUCUGUUUUUGGUUUAAGAAAGAAAAUGAUGGAUUCAGGAUUCCACCUCUGUUAUUAUUAUUAUAUUUCAAUAUUCUAUGUUCCCUUUUCGAUUUUUAUUGUACUCUGUUCCUUCUUGUUUGUAAGAUUUAACCGGCAUACAAUGAUACAACUACUAUUUGGGAGCUUUUAAUUGUGUUUCUUGAAUGAUAUAUGUUGUUGGUUUGGUUCUUGAUAAUACCAUAGUUUGACUUCCAUUUAUUGGAUACAUACCUGUCUGAGGGCUGACACUAGCUUGGUUGUCAGUUGCUUGACUUGCCUCUGAUUCUGUGUCUUGUCUGUCCACAGAAAUUGCUAUUUAUCCUAUCGGAUACUCGGAUUCCUCUGCUUUUACUGUUUCUUCAUACUUUUAGUUGACUUGCCUCUGAUUCUGUGUCUUGUCUGUCCACCAAAAUUGCUAUUUAUCCUAUCGGAUACUCGGAUUCCUCUGGUUUUACUGUUUCUUCAUACUUUCAGAAAGCUCUUAGAACAAAAUUUCCAGGAUAUAUUGAAUCACACCCAAAGCGAUCAUGAUCCAUGAGAUGUCUCACUAGUGAAUGUAGCAAAUGCUUGGUCUUAUCAAGGCACUAACACGAAAAAGUGAACCUUAGUCAACCCCUGCUUCCAAACACCCUAGUUAAAAUAUUAAUGGUGCUCUUUGGACAUACCUGAAAACACAAGCUCAGAGGAUUAUUCAAUUUAUCUAUUGUGUGUUCUUGGGAGUAGAUUUUUUUUUCUUAUUCAUGAUUGUUGAAUGAGAUAAGCAGUUGAUAGCAUUGAGGGAUCUCUAUUAGCGUAAGCCCCAUGAUCUCACCAUUAACAAAUGAAGUGACGUUUCCGAGAAACGUAGGCGAUAUUUAUAUCUUAAAAGACUAAAACAAUCUUUGUCCCAAUUUAUAUUUUUUGGUAUUAAAGUAGUAGAGACCUGAUUAAAAAAGAGAAAACAGAAUCAACGAUUGCACAUAGAGUGACCUUCCAAAAACACACAUAAAUAACUAGGAUAUUUUUUUUUUCUCAUUAUUUUAUGUUGUGUUAAUCAUAUGACUAAUUAAUAGCACUACCGAGAUGAUGAAAUAGGGAAACAUCAGCCGAAUUACAUCAUCACCAACCUGAAAAUGAUAUUCAUUAAGGGUUUACACAAAAAGCAACCUCCCAGAUCAUGACCUUGAUGAUCAAUAUAUCCUGAAUCCAUCUCUAUUUAAAGCUUAUUUUGCACGUUCAGAGAAUUGACAUCCAUUGAGAGACCUCUCUAUUACAGAUGUUGACUUUGCAUUUCUGCCAAUUAUAGGGUUCUCCUACCCAUUAUAAAUUAGCAAGGAAAAGUUAGUACUGUCAUUGAGCUAAACAUGAAAGUAGACCCAAAAGGGAAGUCCAAGGAAGAGAAAGGCGGGGUUCGAUAUAGGGGUGUUAGAAGGAGACCUUGGGGGAAAUUUGCAGCUGAGAUUCGUGAUUCAAAUAGGCAAGGAGCUCGCUUGUGGCUGGGGACUUUUCUUACUGCAGAAGAAGCAGCAAGAGCAUAUGAUCAAGCUGCUUAUGGAAUGAGGGGUCCUUUAGCCAUCCUCAACUUCCCCAAGGACUAUCAAAAUGUUGCCUCCUCUGCUUGUUCUUCAUCAGUCGAUGUCCCUGAGGGACAUCAGAAUGUUGCAUCUCCUCCUCCUUGCUCAUCAUCAAUGUUUGAGAACAUUGAAAGAACUAGGGAUGCACAUGAAAAACAAGUUUUUGAAUUUGAGUGCUUGGAUGAUAAGUUGUUAGAAGAUCUUCUUGAGUGUGAGGAAAAGAAAACCAAGAAUGAGUGAUAGUUUUAAUAAUUGUAUAUCAGUACUUAAUUUUCUUGAUGUUUUCUAUAUUUGGUUGAAUAAACUUGAGACGGAUUCUACUAGUGUUAUUUUUUAGGCAGUUUUUGCUUCCUUUUCCAUUUUUAACUCCCCUGUUUAGAUUCUUCACUGUUCUCAACUUAUCUAUAUGAUUAAUUAAUCAUGAGUUGCAUAUGAUGAUACAUGUACUGAGAAAGGUUGCCUUGUCAAAUUACAGCUUUUAAUUUUGUCGGCAGAAUGAAAGCUUAUGUUCAUUGUUUAAUAAAAUAGUUGUUGACCAUUUAUUAGCCACAUAAGUUAACUAUCCAAAGGCAACACAUUAGACUUUGAUAGCAGUUGCUUGGCUUGCCUUGGCUCUGAGUAUUUUCUGUUCCCUCAAAUUGCUAUCUACCCUGUCACACACUUGACUUCCUCUGCUUUUGCUGUGAGUGCAUGAGUUCGGAAAACUUUCAGAGCAAAAGCAAUUGAAACUUUUAGCAAAAUUUUUCUGGGUACAGUUGAAGCCCUAUCUCUUAGAAGUUAGGACAUUGAAUCGGAUUACCGGUGAGAAAUAAAUGCAGUCAAAGAGAUCUUGACCCAUGGGACAGCACUGUAAAAGAACAGAGAAGCUUUGUAUUCAGGCUAGUGGGACAGAGUUUUACUUGGCAUUUCUCACUAGUUAUAGGCACGAAUAUGACUCUGUCAGCCUUUGCUGGUCUGUUAGCACAGAUAAUAGUUCUCAAAUUAUAGUUGAUCUUUGGAGAUUCAACUGUCCAUAUUACGUUGUUGUAGCUGUUCUUGGUAAUUUUUCUCUAUUCAUCAUUGUUCAGUGAUCUUAGAGGGAUACCUAUAUAAGCUUUAAGCCAUAUGCUCUCACUAUUGCAGACGAUGAAGGCCAUAUGAUCUCACCUUCAUUUAUCUUUCCUCUUCUUUCCAAAUCUAACCUAGAGGGACCUGUAUUUUCUUCUACAGAAGUGCAGACAUCAACACGAGGUGGACCAACUGUAUUAUAAAGGAGAAGAUAGAAUGUAAAGUGACCUCCUAAAGGAUCAACAUGAGGUUUGAGAUGUAUGUUUUCUUAUUAUUCUAGGUUUUCAUGAACCAUUUAAGGGGUUAAUGAAAUAGGGAUACGUCAUCCAUAUGACAUCAUAACCAACCAGAAGAGAGUAAUCAAUAAAGGUAUACAAAAGGUGACCUUCUGGACCCAUCACUCUGGUCCAUCCAUCCUCAAGCCAUCUUUGUCAAAGGGUUCAUUUGCGCAUUCAAAUAAUUGACAUCCAUUCCAAAACGUUUUAUGAACACAUAUUGACCUUUCAUUUUUUUUUAAUCCUGCAUUUUUGGCACCAAGUAUAAGUUGCAGCGAUAAGUUUAGGAGUCAUUGAGGUAAGCAUGGAAGAACACCCUAAAGGGAAGUGUAAGGAAGAGAAAGGAGAGAUUCGUUAUAGAGGCGUGAGAAGGCGGCCCUGGGGAAAAUUUGCAGCAGAGAUUCGUGAUUCGACUAGGCAAGGAGCCCGCUUAUGGCUUGGGACUUUUACCACUGCCGAGGAAGCGGCAAGAGCAUAUGACAAAGCUGCCUAUGCAAUGAGGGGUCACUUGGCCAUUCUCAACUUCCCUGAGGAACAUCAACAGGUUGCAUCUCCUGCUGUUCCCCCUUCAUCACCCAACUUCCCCAAGGAACGUCAAAAUAUUGCCUCUCCUCACCCUUACUCUUCACCAUGGUCAUCAUCAUCUUCACCUAUGAUGUCUGAGAAUACAGAGAGAACAAGUGAUGUGCAUGAAAAACUAGUUUUUGAAUUUGAGUACUUGGAUGACAAGUUGUUAGAGGACCUUCUUGAGACUUCAGAGAAGUAAACCCAGAAUUAUUGACAAUUCAGAACUUGUGGAGGAUGGAACACUACUACUGCCACGCCUUUUCCUUUUUUUUUCUCAUUCAUUAAUCAUAGAUAUCUUUGUUUUCCUCGCUAUCCCCCCCCCCCCUCCCUUUUACUUUUCUUAUGCCUGAAUUGCAAGUCCAUUUCCAGAACUUGGGAAAAUCUUUUACUGACAAGAUUUCAGGAAAUUGGGUUAAGGAAACUAUCCUAUAAUUCAACGUAACUGAUGACCACUCCAUCAUCCAAACAGGAGAAGGAAGUAGCAAAGUUGAAAUGUCUCAUGAAGGAAAACCCAUGCUUGUUUCUCAAGCAAAAAAACAGAGCAUAUGAAUGAGAAAAACAAGAAAUAGGAAUCGAGUUACUGUCCCCACAAGAAUGCCUUCCACCAACUUUUCCCCAGUGUUGAAAAAUAGACAAGACUUGUUUCCGGGAUUCAGCCUAAUAUAAAAGAUAGGAAAAUAACAAGGAUUAUAAUGAAAAAUGAAGGAGAUGUUUGUAGGGAAGUAGAGAGAAUGACCUUAUCAGUUAUCACACCNNNNNNNNNNNNNNNNNNNNNNNNNNNNNNNNNNNNNNNNNNNNNNNNNNNNNNNNNNNNNNNNNNNNNNNNNNNNNNNNNNNNNNNNNNNNNNNNNNNNUUUUUUUUUUCCCUUAGAAUUUUUGAAAAAACAGGGGAAACAAGGGAUGGCCAUAAAAAAUUUUUUUUUAAAUUUGGGUACUGGGAGGCAAAGUUUUUGGGGGCCUUUUUGGGGACUUCGGGAAAUAAACCCCAAAUUUUUUGCAAUUUCAAAAUUUGGGGGGGGGGAACCCUUAUUACUCCCCCCCCUUUCCCUUUUUUUUUCCCAUCCAUAAAUCAAAAAUUUUUUUUUUUUCCUGGUUUUCCCCCCCCCCCUUCCCCCCCCCCCCCCCCCCCCUUUUUCCUUAGUUUCCCCCUAUUAUUUUUUCCUAUUUAUCUCCUGUGUUUUGCUUUCGGAACAAACAGAUGGAUUCUAUGUUUGGUAGUGGACUUUUUUAAUACAGUUUGUCUUUUUUCUUCCUUGUCCUAUUUUAAAUGUGUGGUAUAAUAGGUCUGGUCGAUCAUUGGGCUGGCAUGUGAGCACCGAGAAAGGUUGUUUCAACGAAUUAAAGUUCUGAACCAUGUUUUUUGUCUUAAUAGAAUAAGUUUUUCCCUUCCAUAUACCAUACAAAUACCUGUCAAAUGGUUGGGUAGACUUUUCUGAGUUGCUUGAAUUGAUUCUUGACUUUUGAGUCUUUUCUGUCCACAGAAAUUUCUGUUAUCCAAAGCAGCCUCUUAAAUUCUUCUCUGCUUUUUUUGUCAUUACAAGUUCAAAGAACCUCUAGCAAAAGCAAUUAUGACAGAGAAGUCUUCUUUCAACAUUAUUGAAAAAAUUUUCUUUCUCAAACACAGGCAAUGUUUAUUGUUAGCCUCUCCUUUAAGGUAUUCACAACCCCAUAAAAUAAUGAAAAUUCAUAAAUUUUUUUAGACAUGAAUAGGGAGAGAUACGUCCAAGUUAUCCACCAAACUUUGUGGGGGUUGUCUUUGUAAACAAUGAUACCAUAGUAUUCAAAAUGAUUUGGAAAAUUGGCGUAAGCGAUAUGAUCUCACCUAGUCUAUAUCUAAUGACAUGUGAUAAAACUAGGAUCACCCCCUUUCCGCCCCUAAAUCCAUAUUAGUGGGAUCGGUUUUUUCUUAUUAUUUUUAGCUUCAACCCACAACAGUACUUCCAUUUGGUUAAUUGAACGUAGGCAUGGUGAUGAAAUAGGUUAACGUAGUCACUGUGACCUCACCCACCAGCCUAAUUAUCAUUAUUUAUAGAAAGCUAAACAAAAUAGCUAAUAGAGCCAUCAGCUGAUAUUCUACCCUUCAUUGUUGCCCAAUUAUCACCCAUUAUAAAUAGCAGAGCAGAGUUAGUACUCUUCACCUAGACUAUGGAGGAAAACUCCAAGGGGAAAGUGAAAGAACAGCACAAAAGUUCCGUGAGAUACAGAGGUGUCAGAAGGAGGCCAUGGGGAAAAUUUGCAGCAGAGAUUCGUGAUUCAAAUAGACAAGGUGUCCGCAUGUGGCUUGGGACUUUUACCACAGCAGAGGAGGCAGCAAGAGCAUAUGAUCAAGCUGCAUAUGCAAUGAGGGGUGGAUUAGCCAUUCUCAACUUCCCUGAGGACUAUGGUUUAUCAAAUGCCUCUUCUCGGCCCCACUUCUCAUCGUCUUCCUCACCAUUGCCAUUGAUUAAGUUUGAGAGCCCGGACAACGAUACAGUCACAAACCAAAACCAAGUUUUUGAAUUUGAAUAUUUAGAUGACAAGGUGUUAGAGGACCUUCUUGAGUGUGAGGAGAAGGAAACAACCCAGAAAAGAGCAAAACAUUAGAUUUUUUUACUCUCCUCUUACCUUGCUUAUAAAUAUGAUCCUUUUUCCUCUGUCUUCCAUGUUUGGCAAAGGAGACAAAGGAAUAGGUUCUUCCUCAACGUAUUUGUUUUUCAUUUCCUUGUAUUUAACUCCUUGGGAUGAUUGGUUGAUCAUGUGCAUCUUAAUAUAAGCUCUUCUUCUUAUUAUUUUAUUGAGGUGCUGUUUUAUUUUUUAAUCUUUGGUCGGUAUUAAAGUAGUUAUGGAUUUCUUGAUCAAUUAUUUGGUAUGUCACUGUCAAAGUAACUGUACUUCAAGGGUCCAAGUAUGAUCAAUUGACUUGAUCUUUCCUCCUUGAGUUCAAAAUCAUCAACUGAGAAAGAGUAAACAAUUUAAAAACAGAAUCCAAAACAUUUAACAAUGUGAAAUGCCAUCUGCCUUGCCACCUACCACAAUUCCGGGACCUGUUCUUAUGAUUGCUGUCAAGUGGCAUUAAAUUNNNNNNNNNNNNNNNNNNNNNNNNNNNNNNNNNNNNNNNNNNNNNNNNNNNNNNNNNNNNNNNNNNNNNNNNNNNNNNNNNNNNNNNNNNNNNNNNNNNNUGAGAAAGAGUAAACAAUUUAAAACAGAAUCCAAAACAUUUAACAAUGUGAAAAUGCCAUCUGCCCUGCCACCUACCACAAAUUCCGGGACCUGUUCUUAAUGAUUGCUGUCAAGUGGCAUUAAAAUUAACAUAAUAAGCUCAGAAUAUAUGGCCUAACCAAGUCAAAUGGCAUAAAAAAAUUGUUAACAAAACGUGUAACCUAACAAGAAUGAUGCAUAAGAUAAACGUAAGCAUGUGAUGUCACCUUUCAUUUCUUCUACAAUCCUUAGCUAACCUAGUGGGAUCUACCUUUUCUUGUUUUGGGUUUUCCAUUUUCAGACUUUGUAGUGGUAUUAUAUUAUUGUAGAGAUGCCAAGGAAUUGGGGACCUCACUAGCAACAAUGUAUACUCAAAAGGUGAUGCUUACAAAGCCAUGAUCUUUACCUCUAAAUACAUGUAUAUCCCAAAUCCUAUCUUCAUCUGAAGCUUCUUUGGCAUCUUCAGAGAAUUCCCAUCCCCAUGAAACAUUUUCUUGUGCUAUUUGUAUAUGGUGGGGAGAAAUUCAUACUCUUUACAUUUGCUAGGACAGGGAAAUUGACUGAAAGGGGAUGUCUGGUAUAGAGGUAGAAGACGAUCCAGGAAAUUCGUGGGUUGGGGCGGGGGGAAUCAGCGAGUCCACUAGGUGUGGUUUCUACCUGUGCUUCGGGAAUUGGCAUGGAUGGGCACAUGAUAAGACAACGAGGUGUGAUAACUGAUAAGGUCAUUCUCUCUACUUCCCUACAAACAUCUCCUUCAUUUUUCAUUAUAAUCCUUGUUAUUUUCCUAUCUUUUAUAUUAGGCUGAAUCCCGGAAACAAGUCUUGUCUAUUUUUCAACACUGGGGAAAAGUUGGUGGAAGGCAUUCUUGUGGGGACAGUAACUCGAUUCCUAUUUCUUGUUUUUCUCAUUCAUAUGCUCUGUUUUUUUGCUUGAGAAACAAGCAUGGGUUUUCCUUCAUGAGACAUUUCAACUUUGCUACUUCCUUCUCCUGUUUGGAUGAUGGAGUGGUCAUCAGUUACGUUGAAUUAUAGGAUAGUUUCCUUAACCCAAUUUCCUGAAAUCUUGUCAGUAAAAGAUUUUCCCAAGUUCUGGAAAUGGACUUGCAAUUCAGGCAUAAGAAAAGUAAAAGCUUCUCACAGCAAAACAUACACAUAAUUGAACAACAUUGUGAUUUUCAUAAUUGAACAACUUCCACAAAAUUGAAAUGAUUGUGGUUCUUAUUACAUUAACUUUAAAAAUGUUGUUGAAGACACAGUUCCAUUCAUGACAAAUAACAAUGAAAAAAAGAAUGUAAGUCUCCAAUUCCACAUCAACUUCUAUAUUUUAGCUAAUUAUUCCCUCUUCUAUCACCCUGUGGUUCAAGAAGCUCCUCCAGCAAGUUGUUGUCCAAAUACUCGAACUCAAUCACUUGCCCUUCUUGGUCUCUGGAUGAAAUGCUAGCCCCAGAACCGGUGCUCCGACCAGCGGAAGAUGAAGAUGAAGAACCCAAAGAAUAGGAUGAUGAUGAUGAAGAAGAGAAAGUCUGCCCAUACCCUGGGUUUUGAUACUGGUGUUCAUUGGGGAAGUUGAGAAUGGCCAGAUGACCUCGAAAAGCAUAGGCUGCUCGAUCAUAGGCCCUGGCUGCUUCCUCCGCAGUGUCAAAUGUUCCUAGCCACAACCGCGCCCCGUUCCUUGAAGGGUCUCGUAUCUCCGCUGCAAACUUCCCCCAUGGCCGUCUCCGAAUUCCCCGAUACCGAACCUCUCUUGCCUUGUCCUCCCCCUCCCUCCUCCUCCCUCCUCCUUCCAUAUCUUGCAGGCAAAAAAUUGUCAAACUUUAAUGUCUAUUUUCAACUCAAAUUUAGUGAUAAUAAGUGCCACCUUUUAUAUACUAGGAACUCGAAUAAAGUAUGGUGUGCUGGGUCAUAUGCGACGGUUAGAAUUUUUUGUUGGAAAGGUGUGCUGGGUUCUCAUAGGAAACUUCUCAGAAGUAGUAUAGAAUUUUUAUUUCAGUGAAUAUUGGGCCUGUCACUGAAUUUUGGGCCGUGCGAAAUGCUUUGGGGAUUUCUUACAAAAGGAAAAUACGCAUUUGAAGUUUGAACCCCCUUUAAUUAGUACUGUGUACUUCAUAUUUUAAGUGUUGUUUCCAUGCCUUCAUCCAUAUUUGACUUUGAAAAGACAACAUGAUAAGGUUCAUGAAUGGUGGAAUUUAGGUGGCGUACGCUGAUGUGGCAUGAUGCUUGUUCACCGCUGUCAAAGCUUUCCACCGCUGAUUUUAAAUGGCCGCCACGACGGGCUAUUGAACGGCGGCUGAAAAAGUGUGGCGGUUGUCCAAAGUCCAGGUAAUUUUUUCUUGGCCAUGCAAAAUGAGGACUUUCCAGUGUGAUUUGGAUAUUAAAGGUGAUUGAUAUUUGUUGAGAAUUUUGGAUGAAGGGGGAGUUGAUCAUAUGUGAGGAAAAUUGGGUGGCCCCCAUUCAAAAGUUUGAUUGCUCCCUACCCGGUGGCCACGCCAUGUUUGAGGUUUCUCAGGAUUUCAUAGGGACAAACCCCCCACAUCCAGGAGCUUUCCGGCUUACAAAUCGGCCAGUGUCGGUGCUCCAAACCCUAUGAUUACAUGAAAAGGACCUAUCGUCAAAUUGUUUGAUUGAAAAUGUGUAAGAUUUUUUUUUUUUUUUUGGUAAAACCGAAUCAUAGUAAUAAUGUUCCAAGAAUUUUCAAAUUAGCAUGUGGUUCAUGCUAGUUGAUUUUCCAUCCGUGGGAAAACAAAAUGUCACUAAAAUGAUGGAAGAGUCUUGUGGACCAGGUUUGGGGGCCUAACAGUUAGACUAUUUUCUUUGUCUCACAAAUAUCCAUGGUCCUUUGUUACCAAGAAUGUGACUCUUGUCUACCCUUCCGUUGAAAUUAAAACAAUUGGUCCUAAAUGGGUUUAUAAAAGAAAAAGAGAUUUGGAGCCUAUAAAGCAAACUAGUGAAAAAAAAUGUUAUAAUUAAAAGAAAACCACUUAUUAUGAUUAAAAUUUUUCACCAAUAAUGUUUAAGUCCAUAAAAAUUAUAUUUGCAAUUGUUGCAUACGAUAAGAUGUAACAAAUGAAGGUGAAAACAAUCUUCUUAAAUGUACGUCUUGAAAAAGAGAUUGCUACGGAUUAAAUUGAAGGAUUUAUAUCCAAAGGGCAAAAACAUAAAGUAUGCAAGGUUAAAAAUCCAUUUAUGAAUUAAAACAAGUUUUAAGAAGUUAGAAUAUUUGAUUUAAUGAAGUUAUUAAUUUUUUUUUAAUUCAAAAUCAGAAUGAAGCUUGUGUAUAGAAGAAAUGGGAACAAUAGGUUAUUCGGAUUUUCCCAAACUAGUAACAUUUAAAAAAUUAGUAAUCAAGUACAACAUGCAAAAUUCCAAAAAAAAAAAAAAAAAAAAAAAAAAGGUUUUCUUGCUUUUUAGACAUGAAAAUUGUUCUUCCCAAUAAAAUGUCACCUAAGAAUAAUGAAGAGUUGAAAAGAGUGAAAACCCAUCCAUAUGCUUCAAUAAUGGAUAGUGUACUAGGUAUGAUAUAACUUAAGCAAUGAGGGUGGGUUAGUAGGUUUCAAUCUUAAUCUUGGAGAAGCACGUUGGAUAACGACUAAAAAUAUUUUUAAUUUCUUUAAUGAAUUAAACACUAUUGUUUGGUAUUUAAAAGUUGAAGGAUACAAUAAUUCUAAUUUCAAAUUAGAUCUAGAUAAUAGAAAGCCUACUUUAGGUUUAUAUUUAUAUUAAACAAUGCAGCGUUUAGGUGGAGACACAAUAGUAGAUCUCACAAUAGAUGGAGAACAUGUCAAAGCUUGUGAAUUAGUAAAAGAAAAAACUUCAAUGAAGAAGUCUAUAGAAGAACUUAGUAUUAUUCCAAUAAUUGAAUAUUCUACUACAUUAUUUUGUGAUAAUAAUAUUGCUAUUAUACAUUUUAAAGAGCCUAGAGCUCACUAGAGAACAAAGCAUAUUAAAAGGAAAUUUCACUUGAUAAGAAAAUGGCCAAGAGAUACAACAAUUACAAAGAUAGCUUUUUGUAAAUGAUAGUGCCGAUCCAUUAACAAAACCUUUGAGUAAAAAUAUUUGAGAAACAUUUAACAAAAAUGAAUUCACAAAUUGUAUCUAAUUGGCUUUGAGUGGUAAGGAGCCUACUCUUUACAUCUUAGGGCUACUAGAUCUAAGCACAUGUGGAAGCAUAACAUUUUUAAUUAAACUUAGAUCUAGGUGCUAUAAAAAAUUAUACAUUUGGAUUUGAAUAUUCUCAAAUCCUAUUCCAGUUGAUACAUGUAUUUCAAAAACCUUGUGAUCUUCUAUCCAAUCGUUUCUUUAAUCAUUGACACUUGUGUAGAGUGGUUGCAUCAUUUGAUGGAGGCUAGGGUUUUUGGAAGACUAUCAAUCUAAAACGUUAGAGUCUAACCCUAAAACCUAAAGGGUUAAUAUAAAUUCUCAUGUGAGUUUAAGUGAUUUUGGUCCAACUUGGGUUAGGGUCACUUAGCCUAGUCUAUUUGGUCCUAAUUAAUUAAUUAUCUCUAAUGAACUUUAAUGAACUUUAAUGAACUAAUUAGUCAAAUAUAAACACCUAGAUAAUUAAUCAAAAACUUGUGCAUCCUUAUACUUUUACUAAGACACUCUUAAACAAAUAAAAUUGUUAUCUUUUUUUAUAAAUCCUUAAAACUUUGUGCUUAUAAAGAAUAUCAACUCUGAGGAAGGGACUACUAGAGUCUAUAGAAAAAUGUUGACUUCUUGAGAAUCCAAUUAUGAAGUUGUUUCAAUAUAUCGUUAAAAAAGUCAAUUACAUUUCAAUACUCUAUAAAAUUAUAUUGAGCCAAUUUAAUCAAUUUCUUAAAUUUGUGACCUAUUAUCCACUCCAUGCAAGCUCUUUAUAAAUUGAUAUUCAUAAUCUAAUAAGGUAAAAACUAUCAACCUCUUAAGUUUACCUUUAUUAGCCUUAAGUCUCUAAUCAGUUGGAAAUAUCGGCAAAAUGUUGUGAUUUAUUAUUAUUAGGUCAUCAUUUUUAAUAUAUGCCUAUAAAUAGAUUAAAAUAUAUUAUGCUUUUGAAUCAAGAAAGAUAAUCUUCCUAUUUCCUUUUUUUUUGUAUCUCUCAAAAUUUUAAGAAAUCUCUAGCACAAAGUUAGAUAAAAAAUGACAAUUAAAAGUUGUUUAAUGUAGUAUUCUUGAACACUUAUUUAUUAGCAAUUUUUUUUUUCACACAACACUUCAUUAUGAUGAUUUGGAUGAAUAUAACUAAUUUUUUUUAUUAAAUUUCUUUACAAUUAAAAUUACUCUACCCGAUCAUUUCCAAGAUUCAAAAUUAUUAUUAUAUCAAAAUUGAUGAUGAAAUUUUAAUAUAUAUAUAUAUAUAUAUAUAUAUAUAUAUAUAUAUAUAUAUAAUAAAUUGAUUUUUUUCAUAUAAAAAAUUCAUUAUAAUAAUUUUGGGGAAUAUAAUUACAUUUAUAUUAUAUUUCUGUAACCAAAUUGUCAUAACCCUAUCAUUGAAAAAAACCAAAAUUAUUGUUAUGUUAUAUAAAAAUGUCUGUUAAAAGUUCUUUAACAUAGUGUCGUCUAAUACUCAUAUGUUAGUAUUGUCUAAUACUCAUUUGUUAGUAUCAUUUAGUACUCAUUUGUUAAAAAAUUGAGUUUUUACCUUACAACACUUCAUUGAUGAUGAUUUUGAUGAACAUAACUAUUAUCACCAUCUUUACCUUUUUUUUUUCAUUUUUUUUUUCUAGUUAAUAUUUUAAAAUGAUUUAAUCUUUAUGUGAAACAUUAAAAAAAGUUAAAUGAAUUUAAAGUAAUAUACAUAAAUAAUUUAUUGAUUUUAAUUUAUUUUCCUUCACUUUUUUUUUUAUCUCUCUAUUUUCUUUUUCUUAAAUUUUCCUAUAUUUUUUUCAAGAACCAAACAUAGCCUAAAUUUUGUACACAUCUUUUCGCACUAUGUUAUCAACUUAUCACAAACAUCUUUAUUUAUUUAUUUUUCUAAUCAACAUUUUUCAAUUAGAAAUAAAAUUUAUACUUGCGAUUAAAUUUUUCAUUAUAUUUAUUUGGUUAUCAAAAAGUACUAAGGAGAAAAAAAAAUAUUAAAGAAAAUGAUUUUCAUAUAUUUGAAUUUAUUAUGGAAAAAAUCAAAGGAUAUUAAAUAUAAUUAAAAUUAGUUAAAACUUAUAUAAUUUUAAAUUACUUAAUAUUUAUAUAAAAGAGCUAAAAUUAAUUAAAUAAAUUUAAAACAAUAUAUAAAAAAUAAUUUAUUAGUUUUAAGUUUAUUUUUUAUUUUCUUUAAUUUUUCUUUCUUUCUAAGUUUCUUUUCUAUUUUCUUUUUCUUACGUUUCACUCAAAAUUUAUAGGAUCCAAGCAUAGCCUCAAGGAAUCCAAUUUAUUGGAUAUUUACUUUGUUGAAACAAAAAGGAAAAUCCAAUUUUUAUCCCUUUUUUUAGUUGUAUUAUGUGUAUCGGUACAAUGAAUCAAUUAUCAUAAAGGGGCACAACCAGCCCAUUGGCACAUGGGUUGGCCAGGUUUCUAUAAUGGGCCUUAUUCCCAAAUCUGACAUGGGCCAACUUGUUUGGGAUGAGCCCAAAAGCCCAUUUCAGAAUUUCAAAGAGUCAAGUUUUCUUGGGCCCUUGACACCCUUCACAAAUGUGAUCCUGGUACAAUUCAAAAGAGUAUACAAGGGAAUAUUCUGAUCAGAUCAAAUAAGAUUGCAUUUUUCAUUUUUAUAAUCUCAUGCUGAUGGUUCAUGAAUCCCAAAGAGCAACAAAAGGACCUCUCUCAAUAUUCAAACCCUUUGCUAUCUCUCUCUCUCCAUAGAUCUCCACUUUCUUUUUUCUUUUUCUUUUUUUUUUCAAAAAAGUGAAAUUAGGCUCCCCAGCAUACACUCUACACUCAAUUGACUUGAGUCAUCACUCUGAAAAAAGGAAAAAGAGAAGGGAAAGAAGAAAAGGGCAAAAGGGAUUGUGUCACACAUCACUAACCUUUCAAUAAUGUCAUGCCCUAAAAUUUUCUAUUGGAUUUCUUCAUAUUUUUCUAAGAUGCUCCAUUCACCUUUAACCAUCUUGUAAUCAUUUCAAAUCAACCAAUGGACACUGCCCAACCACUUGCAAAAUCCAUAAUGAGGUUGCCCAUUUGCUUCAAAUUGGAGUAUCACCACCAAUCACCAAUCGACACGUGGCACCACCAAAAUGGUAGGACACUAAUGUUGGAGACCCAUAAAAGAAGCCCAAAAUGUCGUUCAAACUACAAAGAGGGGUCCCCUUUGAUUGCCCUUAUUCAAAGCCAACAGGACCCUUGACUAGUAUUAUCCGUCCCCAAAAAAAGACAAAGCCAGCACACAAGGAGUCAAAGCAAAAUCUCUUCCACCCUCUCCUUUUCCAACCCAGGCAGCUUCCCAGAAGGAGGGAGCAUACCUACCUUAAUUGAAUUUCAAUAUCUAUAAGCUCCACCAAGAUUGAAUCACUGAAAAGACAAGGGAGAGAUGUUUCAAACGGUUCCUAACAGGCACACCAAAACAUUAAUCAAAUAAUACUUGCUCUUUCAAGUCAUUAGAUAUUCAGCCCUCUGUGGGAGUGUGCAUGCAUUUGGGCAUAGUGUGACACAAUCCCAUAAACCAAACGCCCCCACCAACAUAAAAAAAAGGUAUAUAAUAUGAUAGUGUCAUGCAGUCAUGGAUUUUUGGGAGUCAAAACCUAAGAAUAUGUUGCUACCAUCAACUACUUGCCAAUAUGUAUUUGUUGAAUAUAUCAAGGGCAACUUUUGUGGAAUCUCUCUGUGUGUGUUUGACAAGCUAUUGGAUUUGCUUAGGACUUUUGAAUGAUUCCUUUUGGUAAUAGUACUUGGGUUGUGUUAAGGGCCUUAAGGGCCAUGCAAACAGGUAUUGACCAUUCUAGAGAGCAUGUUCAAACUUCAUUUUAAUACAAUUUAAAUCAUUAAUGGUAGGGAGAUAUGGUCUUCUCAUCCCAUCUACUUGUCAAAAUUGGGCACAAAAAUUAGGUUCUAAAAUGGAUUUGAACCAUAUUUUAUUUUAUUUUUUGAAAAAUUAUGUUAAAAAUGGAAAAAUUGAAAACACUCAUUCGAAAAUUUAAAAUCAUAGAUUCUCAUAAUACAAAAGAAAGACCAAUAUUAUGCAAUAGAAAUAGUAAAAUGAAUAAAAAAUUAUCUUAUAUAUAUUUUAAAUAAAAUAUCAUCUUAAAAUAUAUGGUGUAAAUGAUUUAUUUGUUAAUUAAAUUAUGAAUUAUUAUAAACAGAUAUAUUUUUAUAAUAAAAUAAUUUAUUAAAUUAAUAAUAAGUAUAUCCAAACUCAUAUUUUUCCGUGUGUCUCCAUUUAAAUAGUGAAACUAACUCUUUGUUUGUGGAAAAAUGAUUUUUUUUUUUCUUUAGAAAAGUUUGAAUCAUCAUUUAUUUUAGUUAUUUUAAAAAAUUUUAAAAUAAAAUAAAAAGGAGAAUCCCAAAUUUGGGGGUCACCAUAUCAAAUAUACUUAUAUAGUAAUAUUAUUAGGACGGUGAAAACCCAAAAUCAAACAAGAUUGAUUAUAAGGAAAAUUCAAGUUGAGGAUGUAUUUUAUGGACUGACUGACCCUCAAAAGAAGUGGCUUGUAGAAGUGGAUGUUAGGAGCAUUGUCUUGGUCAAGGGUAAGUAGACGAUCACAAUUUGACAACUGGCCCGGUUGGUCCAACUUUAGGCUAACUUUCUAGAUCAAUCAGCACAUGGAUGACACGAGCCACCUGAUAUGUAGACUUCUUACCUUUCUUUGACUGCCCAAUCUUACACUAAAUCACACAAUUAACCUAACUCUCACUUGAUUGGAUGAAUUAAGUAACGAGUUAGCACGUUUUCAGCAACCAUUUUCAAAAUAUAACUUUUUUAAGUAGUUAUCUUUUUAGAACAAGUCCGAUCUAAGACUUCAAAUGUUUUUAACGUGGUUUUUUUUUAGAUGUUUUUAAAAAAUAAUUUUUAUUUACAACAUUUAAUUUUCAAUUAUUCUUCAUUUUUGUGUAAAACAACUAUAAGAAAAUGACUAAAUUAUGUUAUCAAAAAAAUAUUCUUUUCUCAAGAAUGUUUUUUUUUUUUUGAAGAAGUUCUUAAAUAACUGUUUUUUCGUCAAAAAAUUAUUAAAAAUGUUUUUCAAGUUCAAAAGCUAGCAACAAUCUUUAAAGAUUUUUUGCCGAAUUGAUAUUAUCACUCUCACUAUCAUUCGAGCUCAUUUUGAUACGCACACUCUUAAAAUAGUUUUUAAAAACAUUUUUGUGUUCUUAAGAAAAAAAAACCCAAAAAAAACAAGUUUAAUAAUCUUCUAAUAUUAAAAAAUAGAAAAUAUGAUAUUUUGAAAUAAUAUCUUUUAAUUAUUUUAAGUUGUUUUCAUUUAAAAUUUAUUUUUAAAAAUAAUUUUAUAAAUAUAAAGAAUGAUUAAAAAUAAAACACUACAUUUAAAGGUUAUUUUUAAAACAUAUUUACAAAUAUAGAAAAUAUAUUAAAAAUAUUUCAAGUUACAAACAAACUUUUAUUUUGCAAAAUAUGAAAGAAGAGAUUUCAAAAACUCUUAUUAAAAAUUGUUUUUCAAAAUCAUUUUUUGAAACACCUAUUAAACAAAAUCUUAGAAUAUAUGUUGACAAUGGUUUUCAAUAAUAGUUUUUUGUGUUAUAGAAAAAAAAAUUAGAAAACAUAUUUGAUAAUAAAAAAACUGUUUUAUAUUUUCUAUUCUAAAAAAAAUAGAAAAUAGAGUGUUUUCAGAUAACAUAUUUUAAUUGUUUUCACUUGUUUUUUUUAAAGUUAUUUAAAAAAAUAAUUAUACAAACAUGUAUAAUAAUUAAAAAUAAAGUUUUAAACAUAAAAAUUAUUUUUAAAAAAUAUGUUAAAAACAUUUCAAAUUCCAAAAUAUAUUUUUAUUCUACAAAUCAACAAAAAACAGUUUACAAAAACUAAUUUUCAUUUUCAGAAUUAUGUUUAAAAACAAUUACCAAGACAUUAAUUUCUUUCCCUUUCAAAAGACUAGGCAAUGUCUCCAAACCCUAACAAAUCUUCAAUAAUCUUCCUACACCAUAAAUGUUGUAAUCAUUCAAUUCAUUUUCCCAUAUUUAGUUUUUUUUUUUUUUUAAACAAGAAUAAUUUUAACAAGUCAGUCACCAAUUGGGGUGAUCAAAAGUGCUGAAAUAUGAGCACCAUAGGACUAAACCCAUUGAUGUGGAAUCACUAUCAGGAGCCCAACACCUACCCAAAUGUUAAAUUAUGGAUUACUGAAGACUUAAUUUGUUGUUUAGUUCAUGUAGCCACAUUUUUUGUUUGAAUUUAACAUACAUAGCACUGACAUGAGGAUUUUGCAACAAUUUUCAGCUGUUUCCUAUUUGUAGUUCACUCAAAUGAUCUAUUAGAAAGUGUGAAGAUGCAUGAACUUACUCUAUUAAGGCUUAUUCAUGAGGGGUGAUUAUUAUAAUCUAGUGUUGUUUUCUUAUGCUACUUAAUCUUCUUUGAUAGUAUAAAAAGCAGGUAGGACAAGGGGCACUUUGGGAAACUUAAAAUUGGGUCGUCACUUUUCUGAUAUCCUGUGUGGAGACAAAAACUAUCGGUUUGUGUGGAUAUUAUAUUUGUGACUUUUCAAAUGUAUUCAUAUAUGUGUAUAUAAACUAGGCUGUACAAAUUUAAUUGUCAUUGUUUGGAGUUUCCAUUUGAACCUUCUAGAAAAUUCAGAAAAGUUUUAAUUAUUAUUAAAAUAAGAGGACAUAGGAUAUGUUGAAAGUAGGAAAAUAUUUUUAAAUUUUAUACAAAUUGAUAAAUAAUUCAAAUUAUGAAAUUGGGUUUUACUUUUUUUGUUUUUUUUUCCUUUUUACAUUUAUUUAUUUUUUAUAAUUAAACAAAAAAUAAGAAAAAAAGGAAAGCAAGGACAACACUACGCACACAUCAAAACAAAUUUGAUAAGUGGCAAAAUAUGAUGUCCUCACUUGAGCAUUUAGCCCACAUUCCAAAAUCGAUAUGCUCUAAGGAAAUGACACAUGUCAUAAAUCUGAUCCACAAAUACCUUUUAAAUUUUGUUCAAAUAUUUUGAAAAAACAUUAAAAUAGUAUUAAAAAAUAAAAAUAAAAAUAAAAAUUAUAAAACUUGAAAAUGUAUACUCCACAUGGUCGGAUCCGUACCAUAACUUAUGUUUUAAUUUGGGAAAGUUAUGUUUAUAGGCUAUUAUAUGAGAAAUAUAUGAUUUUGAAAAUCAUAUAACUAAAAUAUGAGAUCAGCCUAAUAAUGAAAAAAAUAUUAUAUGUUUCAUAUACUAUUUAUUAUUUAUAUUUAUAUUUUCGAAAUUACCCUUUAGGUGUCCUUGUCAGCAACCAUCACCCGUGUCCAUGUCAUCCGGAAAACCUAAAGAGCAAAAAAAUAAACAAUUUUUUUGGUUUUUCUUGGAGGUUUUGUAUGGAUUUUCUUAGAAAUCAAAUGAGGAUGAAUUUUUUCAGAAAUCAAAUGGGGGAUGGAGACCCCUAUAACAAAUCCAAAAAACACAGGGGCAGAAAAAAUAUAAUUUUUUUUGGUUUUUCUUAAGGGUUUUGUGUGGAUUUUCUCGUAAAUCAAACGAGGAUGAAUUUUCUAGGACCCGUACCAUAACUUAUGUUUCAAUUUUAUAAUUGUACCAUAAAUUGUACGCCUAGUGUGCCCUCUCCAUUGGGGCAUAUUAGGGCCCUUCUACCCCCCGCCAAAAAAAAAAAUAAUAGUUUAAUCACGUUAAAUUUCUGCUUUGAUAUUUUUGGAAUUAUCAAGAGAUGAGUGGAGUGGGAGAGAAGCAAAGCCCCCAUAACCCAUUUUCAUUAUUCAAUGAUGCCUACCGGUUCAUGCACCGUUCCCAAAUGUGUUCACCUUUCAUGGUCCCACCCACUCAUGCUUUUCCUGCCCGCCUGGGAAAGCUGAUUCGGCCAGGAAUCAUUUUUCCUUUUAUAUUUAUUUAUUUAUAAAAAUUAAUUUAUUAUUGGACUCUUUUUCCUCAAUUUUUUUUUCACUAUUUUUUCUACAUCAUAAAUCAAAAUUACCUCAAUUCGUAUUUUAAUACCUAAUACCAAGAUGAAUGCAUGCAUGCAUCAUACAAGUCCCCAUCAAAUAUAAUAAUUAGGCCUAGCAGAUCUCCUAAAAACUAACGGAUAAGGAAAUCUACGCAAUUAUUUUAAAUAAUUUUAGCAAUAAUUAAUCAAGGCGGCGUCGCGGCUCACAUACUUUAUGUUUAUUUUAAUAUAUGAAUGGCUUCGACUUUAUCAUAGGAUACUGGUCAUUUUUUGGUACCGGUGACGGCGCCGGUGUCCGGUGAGGAGUUGAAUGGGAGUGGGUUGAUUUGGAAGAAUAUGGCAUGGGACCCAAUGUAUAAAAGAAAAAUAAAAAAUGGGAACAAGAAAUGACUAUGUGCUAUGAAUCUAGGGCAUCAUUCCAUGCCUUUGGAUAUGAUAUGGACCACCACCUCUCUUAUCCCACGAGGCAACUGCCUUUCUUAAUCGCCUGUCCAUUUAUAUUGAAUUAAUAUUUAUUUUCUUUCUUAGAAGAAUAGUCAAUUGUGGAUCGCAACAGUAAUGGUUUUGGAGUAUUCACCUGUCUUAUUCUACUUAAUGUUAUUUUUCUGAAAAAAUGCAUUUAUUUAAAUCACGACUGAAAUUAUUACUUGGGGAAGAAGGAAAAGGUUGAGACCUUGUGCUAAAAUUUGAUUGAAGAAAAAGUAGUAUGAUGGUCUCCAAAAAGAAUCUUGAUGUUUAACCAAGUCUUGAUUUUAAUUCAUCAAUAUUUUUGGGAUGAUGCUAUUUAAAAAUCUUAAAAUGGUAUUUUUUUUCCUUCUAUUUUACUCAAAUAAUAUAUCUUUUCUUAUUUUACUAAAAGGCUUAUUUACACAUUUUUCAUCAACUUAAAACCUUAUUUGGAAUAACUUUUUAUUUUUAACUUUAAUUAAAAAUUGAAGUUAAAAUCAAAGUCAUAAAUUUUAAAUAACGAUAUCAAUAUAUACAAAUUGAUUUGAUACGAUAUUAGUUGUAAAAUUUAAAAUUUAUAUAUUAAUUUUUUUAAGUCAUAAGCUUCUUAAAUAAAAUAAAAGUUUUUGUUGAAUUUAUUUUUUUUAUUUUUCAAAAAUGGAUCCAAGAAAGGAUUUAAAAAAUAAUUUAUAUUUUAUAUUUAGAUAUUAAUUAAUUCUUUGUAGAGAAGCAAUUGCUAAAGGUAUUGACUUAUGGCCAAGUAGUAACAGUUGUCUCACCCAAAUCUAAGAUUCCCUUAUUUUUUUACCACCUUUUACCCAAGGGAGGUGAUAGCGGUCUCAAUCAAAUUUUAUUUUUUUGAAUUAUCCAUUCUUUUGGGAUGACUUGAGCAAAAUUCAAACCAAUUCUUCCAAGUUGUCAAGACUGAAAAUUGAUCUGAAAUGGCAAGAGAUGAAGUCAUCAAGACUACGUCAGGCGUGCAACUUGAUUCAGACCCGCCGCCAUGCCCCAUUGACUCACGUGCAUUAAUCCCCUCCGGAAAAGUAUCAUCCCCCAAGAACAAAUCCUAAGACAUCCUCCAUUACCAAUAGUUUCACCUUACAAUUUCAUUUAUUUUCUUUUCCCUUAUUUUAAUUUCUCAGCCCCACCAUUUUUUUUCCUUUUUGGGUUUUUUAAAAUAUUUUUCUUCUAAAUUCUUCCUCUACUUCCUGUAUUUAUAGGGCUGGAUUUUCAAAUGUGGUCGAACCAAACUUUUGGUAACCAGGAAUACCAAGAAGAAGAACCAUAGCAUAGAACAUAGCCUUCAAUUCAAUGGAUUCUUCUUCCUUCUAUCAUCAAUACCAAAGUUCAGAAUUCUCACCUGAAUCCUCAUCGUUCGGUUCUUCGGAGUAUUUCUCGUCCUGGGACGAGCCUCUUUUCCACCACAAUUCACUUCCAUUCAACAUAAAUGACUCGGACGAGAUGAUACUAUUCGAUAUGCUAGCUGAGGGAGCUAGAGACUCGUCGGAAACAGCGUCAUCCGUCGGAGGAGCAGCCAAGGAGGAGGAGGUGACUUCCAAUGCUAAAGAGCCCACACCCAACAAGAAGGAGAAGGAGAAGACGUAUAGGGGUGUCAGGAAGCGGCCAUGGGGGAAGUUCGCGGCGGAGAUAAGGGACUCCACCAGGCAUGGGGUAAGGGUGUGGCUUGGUACAUUUGAUAGUGCCGAGGCUGCGGCUUUAGCAUAUGAUCAAGCAGCAUUUUCCAUGAGGGGGACCAUGGCGGUCCUCAAUUUCCCGGUGGAGCGCGUGGUGGAGUCCCUAAGGGACAUCAAGUACGCCUGCGAGGACGGAGGCUCCCCGGUGGUGGCGCUCAAGAGGAGGCACUCUAUGAGAAGAAAAUCAACUGGUCGGAAAAAUAAAAGCAAGGAGGUAAAGGCACAGAAUGUUGUGGUAUUAGAGGAUUUAGGAGCUGAUUAUUUGGAGCAACUCUUGUGUUCAUCAUAGAGCCGUUGAUUCUUCUGGGUCAAUCAUGAAGAUUUCCAUAUUUCCCAAAUUUUUAUAUCUUCUUUCUUUUCUUGGUUCAAUUUUUCUUCUAAAAUUGAUUCGGCCAGGAAUCAUUUUUCCCUUAUUUAUUUAUUAAGGGAAGUUCAUAUCUCCGAAGGAGAAGGAAAUUUCUAAAACUAAUCUUGUAAGUUGUUUUGGUUUCUGAAAAUUACAGUCUGUGCCUUUGUUUCCCUGGGUUCCAGUGAUGAAAAUAGAUAGAUCAAAGAAUCAAAAUUUGGGUUUCUGUUCCUUACCUCUGACUUUCUGGGCAACCAAACAAUUGAAGCAAGAAAAUGAAAAAAACAGAGGCAAGGAAGGAGGACAUAACCGGCAGAGACGGGACAGUACAUGCGAGCAGUGCCGAGAGAGGCAGCAAAAGUGUUGUUACGGUAGGGAGGAGGCUGAGCGUUGAAGAUGACGAGAGGAGAGUUGCCGAUAGAUUCUUUAAGAUUAUGGAGUACCCACAUAAGAGCAUGGUAACUGCACUCAUUCUCGUCAAUGGCCACCAUUACCUUCUUGUGGACUUGAGGUCCUCCACCUUCCACUGCCAUUUCCAUCUGGGUUUUGUGUGGGGUUGCAAUACAAAAUCUAUAUAUUGAACUAACGCAAGCUCUGAUCUUUUUAAGUUUCAGCGAUAGGUUGGUGGUUGGGAAAUAAUCCCAGGUCAUAACAGUCAGUCAAAUCCAUAGAGGCUGAUUUGGAAUUCUAUGGGUGGGUUUUAGUUUAAAUCCGGUUUAGGUCUAUGAAGUUAGGUAAGGUUUACAAAAUUACAGACGGUGCAACUGCUUUGCUCUGCUAGUGAUGCUUAGAAGGUUGAAAUAGGGAAGGAUAAUGAGAAAUUGUCAUUAUUUAUUUAUUAACGUAUUUAAAUUGAUUAUUGGAACAUUUUUAUUAUUAUGAAAAUUAAAACUUACCAAGACUUUGACCACUCUUUUUUUUUAAUUAAUGAGAUUAUGAUUAGGAUGAUACCAAAUUAUACUUCUUUUCGAUAGGCCUUGAAAAUGCAUCAUUAAUUAAGAGUUUGUUUAAUAAUGAUUUUAAAAAAUAUUUUUAGUCUAAAAAAUAUUUAAAAAAAAAAAUUAAGUGUUUUAAAAAGUUUAAGAAACAUUUUAAAAAAUAUAAAAAAUCACUUCUAAUAUUAAAAAAUCACUUGAUGCAUAAUUCUCUUAAAAAAUGUUUAAAAAAGAAAAUCAUUGUCAAACACUUUUUAAGUGGUGUUUUAAACUUUGAUAGACACCAUUUAGUAUUUUCUUUAUGAUUAACUUCAUUUAUAUUUUAUUUUCGUUUCCAUUUUAUAAUACUACACUUGGAGAAACAAUGAGGGCUUUUGGAUUUGCUUAGGACUUUUGAAUGAUUCCUUUUGGUAAUAGUGGUAGUUGGUGUGUUAAGGGCCUUUAAGGGCCAUGCAAACAGGUAUUGACCAUUCUAGAGAGCAUGUUCAAACUUCAUUUUAAUACAAUUUAAAUCAUUAAUGGUAGGGAGAUAUGGUCUUGCCAUCCCAUCUAAUUGACAAAAUUGGGCACAAAAAUUAGGGUUCUAAAAUGGAUUUGAACGAUAUUUUAUUUUAUUUUAUUUUUUGAAAAAUUAUGUUAAAAAUGGAAAAAUUGAAAACAUUCAUUCAAAAUUUUUAUAUUUUUCUUAAGAAAAAUGAAAUUACUUUCAAAAAAUUGAAACCCGAAAAGAGAAUAAAAUCACAGAUACUCAUAAUAAAGAGAAUAUUAUAUAUGCAAUAGAAAUAGUAAAAUGAAUAAAAAAAUUAUCUUAUAUAUAUUUAAAAUAAAAUAUCAUCUUAAAAUAUAUGGUGUAAAUGAUUUAUUUAUUAAUUAAAUUAUGGAUUAUUAUAAACAAAUAUAUUUUUUUAAUAAAUAAUUUAUUAGAUUAAUAAUAAGUAUAUCCGUAGACUCAUAUUUUUCCAUGUGUCUCUAUUUAAACAGUGAAAUUGACUCUUUUGUGGAAAAAUGAUUUUUUUUUUGUUGUAGAAAAGUUGGAAUCGUUUAUUUUAGUUAUUUUAAAAUUUUAAAAAAAUAAAAUAAGAAGGAGAAUCCCAAAUUUGGGGGUCACGACAUCAAGUUGAGGGUGUAUUUUAUAGACUGACUGACCCUCAAAAGAAGUGGCUUGUGGAAGUGGAUGUUAGGACCAUUGUCUUGGUCAAGGGUAAGUAGACGAUCACAAUUUGACAACUGGCCCGGUUGGUCCAACUUUAGGCUAACUGUCUAGAUCAAUCAGCACAUGGAUGACACGAGCCACCUGAUAUGUAGACUUUCUUAUAUUUCUUUGACUACCCAAUCUUACACUAAAAUCACACAAUUAACCUAACUCUCACUUGAUUGGAUGAAUUAAGUAACGAGUUAGCACGUUUUCAGCAACCAUUUUCAAAAUAUAACUUUUUAAAGUAAUUAUCUUUUUAGAACAAGUCCGAUCUAAGACUUCAAGGCUAUGUUUGGUUACCGGAAAGUACAAAGGAAAGAAAAAAAAUGCUAAGGAAAAUGAUUUUCUUAUGUUUGGUUGUCCUAUGAAAAAUAUCAAAGAAAAUCAAAUAUAAUUAAAACUAAUUAAAAAAUUAUGUAUUUUUAAAUUAUUUAAUCUUUAUAUUGAUGAGUUAAAAUAAAUAAAAUGAGUUUGAAGUAACAAAAAAAAUAAUUUAUCAACUUUUAAUCUAUUUUUUUAUUUUCCUUCACUUUUUAUUUCCUUCUACUUUUCCUUUAUAUUUUCUUUCCCUCGUAUUUUCCUUCAAAUUUUCCGGGAACUAAACAUAGCCAUGUUUUUAACGUGGUUUUUUUUUAGAUGUUUUUAAAAAAUAAUUUUUAUUUAACAUUUAAUUUUCAAUUAUUCUUCAUUUUUGUGUAAAACAACUAUCAGAAAAUGACUAAAUUAUGUUAUCAAAAAAAUAUUCUUUUCUCAAGAAUGUUAUUUUUUUUUUGAAGAAGUUCUUAAAUAACUGUUUUUUCGUCAAAAAAUUAUUAAAAAUGUUUUUCAAGUUCAAAAGCUAGCAACAAUCUUUAAAGAUUUUUUGCCGAAUUGAUAUUAUUACUCUCACUAUCAUUCGAGCUCAUUUUGAUACGCACACUCUUAAAAUAGUUUUUUAAAACAUUUUUGUGUUCUUAAGAAAAAAAAAUCCAGAAAAAACAAGUUUAAUAAUCUUCUAAUAUUAAAAAAUAAAAAAUAGUUUUCUUAUUUUUAAAAAUAGAAAAUAUGAUAUUUUGAAAUAAUAUCUUUUAAUUAUUUUAAGUUGUUUUCAUUUAAAAUUUAUUUUUAAAAAUAAUUUUAUAAAUAUAAAGAAUGAUUAAAAUUAAAAUACUACAUCUAAAGGUUAUUUUUAAAACAUAUUUACAAAUAUAGAAAAUAUAUUAAAAAUAUUUCAAGUUACAAACAAACUUUUAUUUUGCAAAAUAUGAAAGAAGAGAUUUCAAAAACUCUUAUUAAAAAUUGUUUUUCAAAAUCAUUUUUUGAAACACAUAUUAAACAAAAUCUUAGAAUCUAUGUUGAUAAUUGUUUUCAAUAAUAGUUUUUUGUGUUAUAGGAAAAAAAAAUUAGAAAACAUAUUUGGUAAUCGGAAAACUGUUUUCUAUUUUCUAUUCUAAAAAAAUAGAAAAUAGAGUAUUUUCAAAUAACAUAUUUUAAUUGUUUUUAGUAGUUUUCACUUGUUUUUUUAGAGUUAUUUAAAAAAAUAAUUAUACAAACAUGUAUAAUGAUUAGAAAUAAAGUUUUAAACAUAAAAAUUAUUUUUAAAAAAUAUGUUAAAAACAUUUCAAAUUCUCAAAUAUAUUUUUAUUCUACAAAUCAACAAAAAACACAAAAAACUCGUUUGGUUGAGAGGGUUGUUUUUGUUUUCAUUGUUUCCCGUGUUCUCAAAAUGACACUGUUUAGAGAACAACAAAAUGUUGUUUUCCCCGUUUUUUUACUGUUUACAGAACAAAAUUAAACAAAAAAAAACCAUCUGUUCUCCGUGUUUUUUUUUUCUUCCCGUUCUCAUCUCUUCUCCAGCACAGUCCCAGUCUUGAUUCAAGGUUCGUGAAAUUUAAAUCCAAUGGCAUAAUAGCAAAGAGACCCCUAAAACGGAUCCAGAAAACACAGGGAGCAAAAGAAAAUCCAUUUUUUUUUGUUUUCCUUGGGGUUUUUGCUUGGAUUUUCUCGGAAAUCAAACGAGGAUGAAUUUUCCCGGAAAUCGAAUGGGGGAUGGAUUUUCUUGGGAAUCAAACGGGGGUUGCAAAAAAAAAAAUAAUAAUAAUAACAUGAUUAGAUUAGUACCUGCGAGGAUUGAGAGUGGCAGAGGAAAAUAGGGCCUUUUAGGGAUUCUCUCGGCUGGAGGGCAACUUCAGAAAAGGGCUUCUUGAUGCCCGAGAGAGAGAGAGAAGUGGGUGGCAUUUUUAAUUUUUGGUUUUAGUAGAGAUAAAAAAAAAAAUUAACAAAUCACGAGAACAAUUUUAUCUCAAUUUAAUAGAAUAUGCUAUAAUUUUUUAAUAAAGUUAAAGAUUAAAUAAAAAAAUAUUAAUAAAAAUAAUUUUAUUAUGUUUGAUUUAUUUUAAAAAAAUAUAAAAAAUAUUUUUAUUUUUAAAUUAAUAAAAUAAAUAAUUUUUUUAAUUUAAAUGAACUAUAUAUCUAAAAAUUAUUUAUAAAUUUAUAAUAUAAAAUUACUUGAAGAAAAUAUUUUAUUAAUUAGAAAAGAAAAAAAAAACAUCUUUCAAACGAAUUUUUUGUUUUAUUUGUUCUAAUUUUUUUUUUUUAUUAACUCAACCAAACAUGUUUUUUUGUUUUUGAGAACAAAAACUGUUUUUUAAAAUUCAAUUCCCAAACAUAAUUUUUUUUAAAAAAACACCAAAAACUGUUCUCAAAAACUAUUUUCCAGAACAGUUUUCAAAAACAGUAACCAAACAGGCCCUAAUUUUCAUUUUGAGAAUUAUGUUUAAAAACAGUUACCAAGACAUUAAUUUCUUUCCCUUUCAAAAGACUAGGCAAUGUCUCCAAACCCUAACAAAUCUUCAAUAAUCUUCCUACACCAUAAAUGUUGUAAUCAUUCAAUUCAUUUUCCCAUAUUUAGUUUUUUUUUUUUUUUUAAACAAGAAUAAUUUUAACAAGUCAGUCACCAAUUGGGGUGAUCAAAAGUGCUGAAAUAUGAGCAUCAUAGGACUAAACCCAUUGAUGUGGAAUCACUAUCAGGAGCCCAACACCUACCCAAAUGUUAAAUUAUGGAUUACUGAAGACUUAAUUUGUUGUUUAGUUCAUGUAGCCACAUUUUUUGUUUGAAUUUAACAUACAUAGCACUGACAUGAGGAUUUUGCAACAAUUUUCAGCUGUUUCCUAUUUGUAGUUCACUCAAAUGAUCUAUUAGAAAGUGUGAAGAUGCAUGAACUUACUCUAUUAAGGCUUAUUCAUGAGGGGUGAUUAUUAUAAUCUAGUGUUGUUUUCUUAUGCUACUUAAUCUUCUUUGAUAGUAUAAAAAGCAGGUAGGACAAGGGGCACUUUGGGAAACUUAAAAUUGGGUCGUCACUUUUCUGAUACCCUGUGUGGAGAGUCGAGACAAAAACUAUCGGUUUGUGUGGAUAUUAAAUUUGUGACUUUUCAAAUGUAUUCAUAUGUGUAUAUAAACUAGGCUGUACAAAUUUAAUUGUCAUUGUUUGGAGUUCCAUUUGAACCUUCUAGAAAAUUCAGAAAAGUUUUAAUUAUUAUUAAAAUAAGAAGACAUAGGAUAUGUUGAAAGUAGGAAAAUAUUUUUAAAUUUUAUACAAAUUGAUAAAUAAUUCAAAUUAUGAAAUUGGGUUUUACUUUUUUUGUUUUUUUUUUCCUUUUUACAUUUAUUUAUUUUUUAUAAUUAAACAAAAAAUAAGAAAAAAAGGAAAGCAAGGACAACACUAGGCACACAUCAAAACAAAUUUGAUAAGUGGCAAAAUAUGAUGUCCUCACUUGAGCAUUUAGCCCACAUUCCAAAAUCGAUAUGCUCUAAGGAAAUGACACAUGUCAUAAAUCUGAUCCACAAAUACCUUUUAAAUUUUUUUCAAAUAUUUUGAAAAAACAUUAAAAUAGUAUUAAAAAAAUAAAAUAUAAAUAUAAAUUAUAAAACUUGAAAAUAUAUACUCCACCUGGUCGGAUCCGUACCAUAACUUAUGUUUUAAUUUGGGAAAAUUAUGUUUAUAGGCUUGAGAAAUAUAUGAUUUUAGAAACCAUAUACUUAAAAUAUGAGAUCAACAUAAUAAUGAAAAAAAUAUUAUAUGUUUCAUACACUAUUUAUUAUUCAUAUUUAUAUUUUCGAAAUUACCCUUUAGGUGUCUUUGUCAGCAACCAUCACCCAUGUCCAUGUCAUUUGGAAAACGUAAGGAGCAAAAAAACAAACAAUUUUUUUGGUUUUCCUUGGGGGUUUUGUAUGAAUUUUCUCAAAAAUCAAAUGAGGAUGAAUUUUUUCGGAAAUCAAAUGGGGGAUGGAGACCCCUAGAACAAAUCCAAAAAACACAGGGGGGCAGAAAAAAUAUAAUUUUUUUGGUUUUUUUCUUAAGGGUUUUGUAUGGAUUUUCUCAUAAAUCAAACGAGGAUGAAUUUUCUAGGAUCCGUACCAUAACUUAUGUUUCAAUUUUAUAAUUGCACCAUAAAUUGUACGCCUAGUGUGCCCUCUAUUAUUGGACUCUUUUUCCUCAAUUUUUUUUCAUUAUUUUCUACAUCAUAAAUCAAAAUUACCCCGAUUCGUAUUUUAAUACCUAAUACCUAGAUGAAUGAAUGCAUGCAUCAUACAAGUCCCCAUCAAAUAUAAUAAUUAGGCCUAGCAGAUCUCCUAAAAACUAACGGAUAAGGAAAUCUACGCAAUUAUUUUAAAUAAUUUUAGCAAUAAUUAAUCAAGGCGGCGUCGCGGCUCACAUACUUUAUGUUUAUUUUAAUAUAUGAAUGGCUUCGACUUUAUCAUAGGAUACUUGUCAUUUUUUGGUACCGGUGACGGCGCCGGUGUCCGGUGAGGAGUUGAAUGGGACUGGGUUGAUUUGGAAGAAUAUGGCAUGGGACCCAAUUUAUAAAAGAAAAAUGGGAACAAGAAAUGACUAUGUGCUAUGAAUCUAGGGCAUCAUUCCAUGCCUUUGGAUAUGAUAUGGACCACCACCUCUCUUAUCCCACGAGGCAACUGCCUUUCUUAAUCGCCUGUCCAUUUAUAUUGAAUUAAUAUUUAUUUUCUUUCUUAGAAGAAUAGUCAAUUGUGGAUCGCAACAGUAACCGUUUUGGAGUAUUCACCUGUCUUAUUCUACUUAAUGUUAUUUUUCUGAAAAAAAUGCAUUUAUUUAAAUCACGACUGAAAUUAUUACUUGGGGAGGAAGGAAAAGGUUGAGACCUUGUGCUAAAAUUUGAUUGAAGAAAAAGUAGUAUGAUAGUCUCCAAAAAGAAUCUUGAUGUUUAUCCAAGUCUUGAUUUUAAUUCAUCAAUAUUUUUGGGAUGAUGCUAUUUAAAAAUCUUAAAAUGGUAUUUUUUUUCCUUCUAUUUUACUCAAAUAAUAUAUUUUUUCUUAUUUUACUAAAAGCUUAUAUACACAUUUUUCGUCAACUUAAAACCUUAUUUGGAAAAACUUUUUAUUUUUAACUUUAAUUAAAAUUGAAGUUAAAAUCAAAGUCAUAAAUUUUAAACAACGAUUGAUACGAUAUUAGUUGUAAAAUUUAAAAUUUAUAUAUUAAAUUUUUUUAAGUCAUAAGCUUCUUAAAUAAAAUAAAAGUUUUUGUUGAAUUUAUUUUUUUUUAUUUUUCAAAAAUGGAUCCAAGAAAGGAUUUAAAAAAUAAUUUAUAUUUUAUAUUUAGAUAUUAAUUAAUUCUUUGUAGAGAAGCAAUUGAUAAAGGUAUUGACUUAUGGCCAAGUAGUAACAGUUGUCUCACCCAAAUCUAAGAUUCCCCAAGAGUCAUUUUCUUUUGGAUUAUUUUUUUACCACCUUUUACCCAAGGGAGGUGAUAGCGGUCUCAAUCAAAUUUUAUUUUUUUGAAUUAUCCAUUCUUUUGGGAUGACAGAUGACUUGAGCAAAAUUCAAACCAAUUCUUCCAAGUUGUCAAGACUGAGAAAGCUUUCAAAAAAAAAAAAACUAACCCAAGACGAAGGGAGAUGUAUCUGGACCAUUUCCACGUCAUAAAGCGACAGAUGCGCCUCUGUCUUUUAGUGCUCUUGAGUCUUGUCGCUUCAGCCACAUCACCUCAAAUUAUUAUUAUGAUUAAUUUUGAUUUUAUGUUUCCUUGGAAAGAGUAGGGGGUUUCACUGAAGCUUCCCAACCAAUUUCACAGCUCCCCUCCCAUCAACUCCCUUCACAUCACCAUUCGUACCCACAAGAAAAUUCAUCCCACUUUUGUAAAAAUCAUUAAAAAAAUCAAAAGUAGUGUUCAGAAAGUUCAAGAAGAAUUUGAAAAUUAAGUAGCAUCAUAGCAUGCUCUAUGUUUUCAUUUUACUAGCAAUGAAAUGACUUUCAGUGUGUAUGCUUAGCAGUGGUGGAGCCACCAUAUGCCUGGACGGUGCCAGUGCUUUGCUCUGCUAGUGAUGCUUAGAAGGUUGAAAUAGGGAAGGAUAAUGAGAAAUUGUCAUUAUUUAUUUAUUGACGUAUUUAAAUUGAUUAUUGGAACAUUUUUAUUAUUAUGAAAA
rnacentral:lncRNA from 1 species